AAAAAGGCCCAACCUUUCAUUUCCUAAUACCAUAAACAAUGGAUGUACAGAAUACAUUUCAAUUUCUCUCUCUCACCUUUUCCACCGUCACACUCCGACGACGGCACCACCGAAAAUUCACGCCUCCUCUUUUCUGAUAACUUUUGCUCAACUUCUUUAAAAAAAAAUUGAAUUGAAAAAUUGGUUGCAUCAACCCAAAGGCUGAAUUUCUUUCUUUUUCUUAACUCACCCCGUACUCUGGCUACAACAACACCCGAUUGCAGAUCAUGGGCAGAAGCUUUAUAGGUAUUCGAUUGUUUGAUUCGCCAAGUUUCACCAGUAGAAGGCGUGGAUGAGUUUGUAAGUGUCGUUCAUUUUUUUUCUACCAGUUAUUUAUUUAUUUUUUUCCUUCUUUUUGUUUGGAUGCAUUUUUUUAGCAUUCUAUUUAUUCAUACUCGGGAAAUGGGUCUAAGCCACUUCUUAGGUUUUUUCUAAAUUUUAUUUGCCCAAUUUCUUCAGUCUCUGUUUAUUUUCUGUGUGCCGUGGAAAUGUAUCGUUAAUGGAUUGCACCAAUUCAAUUUGUAUUUCUAUAGAAGUACAGAAAGAACCCUUAUCUAUAGAUUUGCAACAUUGACAUUGCUAAAAAUUAUCUAGUCACUCUGCCAAAUUCAGGUUUUGAUAAUGUGUAUAUGGUUGCUGUAUGUGUUUAAAAUUCCAUGUCACAUGAAAGCACAUUUUCUUGAAUGCUAUGCUGCUGAAAUUUUCACAACCAUUGAUGUCAGACUUCUGUACCAUAUUAAAUUUUAGGAUUAAACCACAUCUACAGCACAUCAUGGUUCAUAGCCCCCUCACAAUGAGGGGACCUCACCUCGGUUUUAUUUAUUGUUAAUAUGUGCGGGCCCCCUCCGAUGUGAGGGGGCUGUCAACCGUGCGGUGUGUUGAGCUGUGCACACAGCACGGUCCUAAAUUUUAAACAGAUAGAUGCUGCUGCAAAUUAUGAAUGCUAUCAGUGAACGUUGCAGCAAAUUGAGAAAUGAUGACUUACCAAUUUUGAUUUGCUAUAAACAAGUUUUUAGGGAAAACAUUCAAAUUAAUCAAGAAUGCAUUACAGGUAGCUACUGUGAACUUUUAUGACAGACAACAAUAUCAUCACUUUUAGACAAUAAAGUUUCAAAUGGCACACCAUAUUAGCAUUUUGGCUGCUAAUAAUAGCUGAAACAAUUUUACAGAACAUGUGUUAUUCUGGAUCUCACUGUUGCACUUCAUUACAAUAUCAACAAAAAAUAUGAAGUCUCACAUUGGCAUGUUUGUUUUCUAUUAUUUACCCAUUAAAAUGAAAAAUACGACCAUUAUCCAUCACAUCAAGUCACCAUAUUUGACUUUCUAUCUCUUGUGGGGUUUCGUAACAACUAUAUUUUUCAUUCUUAUUUUUACAUUAAUGUGUACCAAACGAGCUCUAAUACCCAAUAGUUUAUAAAAUAAAACAUUUUGAUCUAUUUUUUUGUAGUUUCUCUUUAACCAAAUCAUUCACUUCUAAAGGUUUGUCCUGUCACUUAUGUGUACGAAUUGUUGAUAUUCUGCAGAAUUAAAGAAUGUAUGAUGCCUAGCGUCUUGUGUUUAUUAAGUUGACACCAUUCUGUAAAAUUAAACAGUAACAAUAACUAGUUAAAAAGUAAAAUCCAACCAAUCAUAGAAAAGAGAAAGUUGGUAUUGAUUAUAAAAUUCUUGUUGAUGGAAUUAGUUUUUCUUUGAAAACAAGUUGAUCCCCAUAUUCGUUUUUAUUUGUCCUUAUAUAUUAUUUUAGAUUUACUGGUCAAGUGAGCAAUUUUUUUCUUAUGGUUUUCUUAAGAAAUCUAAACAUAGCUACCUCAUUUGAGAGAGAUAUAUAUAUUCAUGCUUCUAGAAACAAAUAUGGAAAGCAUAAUCACUUGGCAUUUAUCUGACUUUAUUUCUUUGUAAAACAAGUAAAGCAAAAGUUCAAUUAAAAUAAAAUGAAAUUAGUGAAAUACAAAUCUGAAAACGAAUUAAUUGAAGAAACACAAACACGAGCACACAGAGAAACUUAUAUAUGGCACGCUCCUCGUAUAUAGAUAAGUUGUACAUCAUUCAUAGAAGAUUAAUGUUAUUUGCAAUCGCUCACUAUCUUAGUCGCUUACUAUCGUAGUCGCCCUGUGUGACAUACAUAUGACGAUUAGUGAUUUGAUACAUUAAUGUGGUAGUUUUUAUUACCUUAUAUAACAAUUCAUUAACCUCCACAUGUUUGUCACAUAAGAUAACUGUGGCAGUAAGCAAUUGCCCGUAGCUUUAUUCUUCAUAGAAUCGGUGAAAAGUUAGAACUCUGUUAUCUUUAUUAAUCUUCAUUGUCCCAAAAUUCUUGCACUAGAAUGUUUUUCUCAUAUAAGUAUUUUGCUAGAAAUAUUGUACUGUUCCUUUAUUUCAAAACAAUAUUUCUACUUUUUCUCUCAAAUAAUCUGUUUGAUAAGGUCAAAAUGAUUGUUUUAUCUAUAAUUUUAAUUGAGAAAACUAAUAAGAUCCUUAAUUUAGGGGGUUUCCUCAAUUGAAAUUGGAAUGAAUUUUAAAAUUCUUGUAUAUUCAGGUGAUCUCAAUUGAGAUUUUAAUGAAUUUUAAUGAAAUCUAUUAAAAUUUAGGAGUUUUCAAUUGAUAUUUAAAUUAAAUUCAAUGAAAUUCUUUAAAAUUUAGGUAUUCUUAAUAAUUAAUGAAUUUAUAAUGAUUUCAUUAAUAGAAUGGUUUUAAAAGAUUUGGAUGGAUUUCAAAUUUAAAAAAUACAUAUAAUCAAAACGAUCAAAAAAAGAAAAAAAAAAAGUACAUACAAUCAAAUCUUUUCAAAUUUCAUCAUAUUUGAGGAGAUUUUUAUAGAAUUUGUGGAAAUCUAUUCAAAUUCACGAAAUUUUGUUACUGUUUAUAAUCUUUUAAAAUCUAUCAAAAUUUUAGUUGAAGACACCCUGUCAAACUUUGGCCAUUACAAGAGCACUAUUUUGAGAAAUUGCUUAUCUUAAAAUGCAACGUGAAAAGUUAAAAUUGUUAUAAUAAGCGAUUUUAUUUCUCGAAGGGGUUAUUCUUUGAUGAUCAUAUGAUAUACUAAAGAACCACUGCAAUACAAAGUACAUUGAACUUAACGUCGGUAUAAUUUUUGCACUUGAAAAGGUUGUAUGGAGAUUUCAGAUGUUUGAGAAAAAGAAAGCCGACUAAGAGAUGAUAAAAUGUUUCGAUCAAAUUAAUUGUCACUAAGAUCAAGGGCAUUUAAAGUUCUCAACCUUGACAUUGCUAAUAAUGUGGCGAGAUUAUUUAAUCCAACAUCUGCAAGUGAUGGCGAGGGGGAAAACGAAUGGAUGGAACUAUUGUGCCAACAAAUUGAGGUGUUGAAACAACAUGUUAACAAUUUUCUAUCUUGAUAGUCUGACAAUCACAGAGAUGCAUCGGUUUGUAAGUAGGAGGAGGAGGGCUCUGACGACGAUGAAUGCCUUUUGUUCCUUCUAAUUCUAAGCCAGAGAUGAAAUGUUACUUUUUUAUGAUGCUUUAUAAUUGAUAAGUUCACAAAUACAUUGACGACCAUCCAAUUUGGGAGGAGGAACCUAAUGUUAAUUUGGAGAAAUGGUCCAUAAAAUCCAACUUUAACCUUAAAGCUGCUGAAGUUAGUAAAGCUAGUUUUCGAAAGUAAGUUUGGUGAAGUUGGCUACUUUUACCACCAGUCAAAAUUUUCACCUCCAUCGUGCACUAAUCUAGAAUUUUGCAAUAAUAUUAAUUAUUUUACACAAAUAGUUUACAGUUUUUUUAAUUAAUUUUAUGUUUAAGAUUACAAAUUUGGAUAUUUGGUGAUCUUCACGUCGAGGACAUGUUAAAUUUAUCUAUUUAUUAUUUAUUUAAUUUUUUUGUAAAUAAAUAACUAGCGAAGCAUUAAUAUAAAUCUUUUCGUUAACCAAAUGUUUGAUACUCAACUUCAAUAAUUGUUACACCAUCAAAUCACGUCAAAGGAAAACCUGCAACUGGUUCGUUACUUCGAAUGAUCAAAUCUGGGAAGAAAAAAAAAUGAUAAAAUUGAUUAGAUAGAUGAUAAAAAUAUAUUAGUUACAAAAAAGUUAGUAUAGUAUAAAAUGAUCUUCAUACAAAAUUACAGCAGGUACCUUCAUUUUGAAUAUGGGAAUACUUUCCAGAACACUUGGCCCUCAGAAUUGGAUUGUAUAAAUCUCAAUGAAAUGGAACCAUACUCUUCUCCAAUGAGGAUUUAUGUACAGAACUGUAGCAAUGCAAAGCACAACACAUAUGUAAGAUACGAUGAAGCUUACAUAGAAGACCUCCAUGUCCAUGAAACCGCGCUCCUCACUUUCAUCAUUAGCAGAUGGUAGGACAGGUGAUGAUCUAGUGCUAGUACAGUUGACUGGUAAUGGACGACCACAAAGAUAAGGAUUUCCCUGGUAGCUAUCUUCACCGAAGGUUCCAAACUGACCUUUCUCUGGUAUAGUACCUAUUAAAUUGUUAUGUGCCACGCUGAAGACUUCUAAAGUGUUUAACUCAAUCAGAUCAUUGGGGAUCUUCCCACCCAAGUUGUUAUAGGAGAGAUCUAAGCUCUCGAUCUGAUGUAGGCUUGAGAAUGUUGCUGGAAUUGUUCCAUUAAGAUUAUUGUGGGACAAGUUGAUUGCAUGGAUCUCACUUAACUUUCCAAAGCUGUCCGGAAUUUCACCAUGUAAUUUAUUAGAAGAGAGAUCAAUUCCAGACAUGUUAUUGAGGAUGUAACCUUUGUAAGGAUAAGAAUUCUUCUUUGUCGUAAAUGCCACUAUAAUUGGCACUCUGUCGAGUACAAUUAUUGUUAACUCAGAGUUCUCCUUGGUUUUCCCCAGUGAUAUGUUACCAAAGCACUGCGGGAUUUGACCCGAAAGGAAAUUAAAAGAAAGGUCUAUCAUACUUAGUUUGUUCAUCUCACAAAACUGGUGAGGGAUCGUGCCUUCAAAAUGGUUACCACUGAGUAGAAAAAAUCUCAUGCUUGAUAGAGUGCCAAUCCAUUGAGGGAUACUUCCAGUGAACUUAUUCUCUCUGAGAUCCAAUAACUCCAACGAAGAGCUAUUAUAAAAUGCUUCUAUCAGCUCACCUUCUAAUUGGUUAUUGUUCAGAUAGACAUGACUUAUUGUUGAUGUAUUGAAGCAGGAUGGGACCGAACCACAUAACUUGUUAUGAGAUAAAUCUAAGAGGAGAAGAUCCUUGAGAUUGCAAAUUUCCACGGGGAUAGGACCCUCGAGCUGGUUAUUAGACAUAGAAACUAUCAUCGAAUAUGUCAUAUUACCCACUGAUGUGGGAAUUCUGCCAAACAAAUGGUUGUUACUAAUGUCUAACACCCUUGAAUUUAUGGUAGACAAGCUACUUGAAAUGGUGCCUGACAAGUUAUUGUUGGACAAGUCCAGUUGAUCUAUAUAUUUUAAGUCACCAAAACUAGAAGGUAUACACCCAUCAAACAUAUUUGUUGACAUGUUUAAUAAAUACAAAUUUGGAAAAAUAGAAGUUAUGUUAAUUGGAAUACGUCCAUUGAACUUAUUAUUAGAUACAUCGAAAGCCUGCAUGUCAUGAUUGGAGCUUGUUGGCAACAUGAGAGUUCCUGUAAAAGCAUUAGCCGACAGGUAUAGUUGCACAAGUCUUGUGUUGUUCUCUAACAACCAAGUUGGGAAAUUCCCUCCUAUGUUGUUCUUUGAGAGACCAAUAAAUCUCAAGUUAGAUUGAUAGUAAAAGAAGUUGGGUAGUUUUGGAUGGCCACUACAAUUUGAAAUAUCAAAAUCCUCUAGUUGAAAACUGGGAACCCAUUUUUCCAACUCGUUUUCAUUUAUUAUUUCAUUGGUUCGCACAUAUAAAUGCUUUAAGUUUGAAUGAUUGAAGAAUGCCUUGAAAGAAAUUGGAACUUGAAAGUGGUUACUUGAAAGGGAGAGAUAUUCAAGCGAUGUGAGUUUGGAAAGUGGAGAUGAGGCAACAUUUCCGGUGAACUUAUUGGAAGAGAGGCCAAUUGAUCUAAGAGAAGUCAUGUUUGCAACACAUGAGGGAAGCAUUCCUUCAUACUCAUUCCCCAUCAAAUAUAACUCUUGGAGAGUUUUAAGUUCACACCACCCUGCAAAAAAAUCACUGCUUCAAUAGCCAUCAAAAAAAUAGAGAGUAUAAAGACUUCGCCCAUAAAAGGUAAGAAAAAUUUUUGUGUCCGAACUUACGUUUUAAGUAAGAAAAUUACAUUUUUAUUGGUGAAAUAUGGCAAUAAGUAGCUUAUUUUGAAUGUAACUCUUAUGAGGGACAAAGCCAGAACUCUAUAAAAAAUUCUUUUAUGCUGGACAUAAUUUUUACAAAUAUAAAAAUUCAUACGGAAAAGCAUUGUUUACCAAACAAGUCGUUGAAGUUUACCUCGAACGGGAAGGGUACCAUUGAGUCCACAACUAGACAGAGAUAAAAUCUUGAGGGAACUCAAUGCUCCAAUACUUUGUAGAAAGUUCCCAUCCACAUCAGAAUAGUCCAAGAACAAUUGCUCCAACUGUCUUAAAUGUCUCAACUCUUAUGCACGAAAACAAUGGGAUGGGCAUUAGAAUUGGAGUUCAUAUUAUAAUUAGUAAUAUAAUUUUUGUGACUAGAAAUUACAACUCUUUCGGGUUACCAAAUGUUUCUAUAUUUCCGUUUAUAUAAUUGAAAAUAGAAAUAAUCGAAGAAACAAUUUAUUAAUGAGCAUGCUAAGUCAUGGAAAACAUUGUUUACCAAACAAGUCGUUGAAGUUUACCUCGAACGGGUAGGUUGCCAUUGAGUUUGCAACGAGACAAAGAUAAAAUCUUGAGAGAACUCAAUGCUCCAAUACUUUGUAGUAAAUUUCCAUCGACUGUAGAAUUGUCCAAGAAUAGUCCCUCCAGCAAUCUUAAAUGUCUCAACUCUUAUACACAAAAGCAAUGGAAUGUGCAUUAGAAUUGGAGUUCAUAUUAUAAUUAGUAAUAUAAUUUUUGUGACUAGGAAUUACAACUCUUUAUGCUUACCAAAAGUUCCAAUACUUUCAUUUAUAUAAUUGUCCCGAAAAUAGAAGUGCUCGAGGUAUGAGAAUGCCCUCAAAGGUUGCACCAGGUUGCUAAUGUUGGAGACACUUAUGCCAUCUAAUUUUAGCACUCGAAGACGAUGCAUACUUUUGAUGCCUGGAAUGGAGAACUAUCUAGGGUAAUAUUCAUCAACGUUAAUUAUUGAGAAAUGGAAAAUUAAAAUGUUUUAAGUGUCGACGAUGAAAUGUAAUAAACAACAAACUACUAAAUUAGUGAUAUGGAAGGGCUGUGAGCAAAAUAAUAGGGACGCUUCGGCUCAUGCAUAAUAAGGCACAAGAAAAGGAAAUUAAUAAUGAAUAAGGAUAAAGAAUGAAUUGAGGUGAUAUACCAUAAAUGGUACCCGAACUUCCAAAUUGAUUUUCACUUAGGUCUAGCUCCUUCAAAUUGAUAAAAUCAUUCAGAUCUAUCAAAAAGGAAAAGUAAAUUUAUUAAAAGGUCAUAACAAUAUAGUCUUCUUUUGACCUAAAAACAAUUUAUCACACUUGUAAAAGGAGACUCACUUAGCAUCGACAGAAUGUCGCCGUUGCUAAUAUCAUCGUUACCUUUGAAAUCAAGAACUUCCAGCUUGGUUAAUCCGAAGAGCCUUUCACUGCCUAGACAAUUAUUUCUCUUAAAAAAUAAUAUUAUGUUUCGUCAAGCUAAUAAAAAUUGAAAUAAUACCCAGAGGAAAUCAAUGUUGAUUAAGAGUACGCACACAAGCAUAAUGGUUGGGAAUCAAAAAAAUAAUAUUAUACUUAUGUAAUAAGGUGUGUUACAAUAUUAGAUGAAAAGAAAUUAUUAAAAAAAAAAAAGGUCUUAUUUGUUGUAUAUGUCUUGUACCAGAAGUUCCCUUAAUCUUUCACAUUUGAAUUAGUACUUGGGUUGAUUAGAACUAUUAAUAUAUCAAUGACAUUAACAUAUGCGUUUCGUAAUGCUAACCGUAUUAGGAAGGGCAAAUGACAAAUGUUUUGAUCUAAUAGGAAAGCAACUAGCAUAAUUUUCGAAGUGGCUAUUCUUAGAUAAUCAAAUGAUCUAUCAAAGAACGAGCAGAAUACAAAGUAUAUUGAACUUACUGUUGCUGAAUUUUUUUCUCAUUAAAUAGUUGUUUCCAAAACCCAAAUACUUUAGAGAAGAAAGCCGACUAAGAAAUGACAAAAUUUUGUUAUCAAAUGAAUUCCAACUCAAAUCAAGGGCCUCCAAAUUUCUCAACUUCGACAGUCUAUCAAUACCUGCAACAAAGUUCAAUAUAUCUAUAAUAUCACUCGAAGGAAAAACUUAGACAACCAAAAAACAGAGGAGUAAUAAAAUUUAAUCAACUGGCUAGUUACUCGAGUAGAGAUUUCAUCUUGCCUUCAUUCUCAACCCAUCCUACUAACUAAUUUUGCUCCAAGAAGAGAUUUUUGAGCUCUCGAAAUGGAAGAAACAGAGAGGCAUUAAAAUACCAAUCUCCUAAUUUCCUCUCCCUAACGUAAUCAAGAUCAAGUUGGAUUACUCGUUUAGUUGUGUUGCUGCAUUCAACCGAUUCCCAUUGACAACAAUCAGUUGCAGUCUCAUUAACCACCCAUGAAGACAGUGAUUCUCCAUCUGGGAAGUUUAUAUUUGCUCUAAGGUGCAAAAGAGCAACCUUCUCUUCCUCCCAACACCCUAAACAAUACCAUUCAUUUAGUAAUGAAAGCACAAUCAUCACUAGAAUUACCAGUAACUUAAUUCCCAUCUUUCUUAACUGCUAAGCCACAAAUUCUUACUUUUUCUGGAUAAAUGAGGUUGCAAACUCUCCAAUUUAUAGCACUAAGUGGAUUUGACGUGUUAGGCGGUUUGUUUUUAUUAUAGACUUUUCCUUGAAGUUGUAAAAUUCGUAGCACUUUCUUAUUGUUUAAUUGAUUAAUAGGAAAUUGCCCAUACUUAGUUGAUUGAUUGAGGAUUAUAAAAGAACCCUAUAUGAGUUGAAAAUUACUGUCCAAAAUUGACCAUCCGACUUGCCUUCCACAAAUAAUUCAUUGACACAUCAUUAGACACCUAUUUUUAAUCACAAGUGAUGGUGAAUUAAAAGUUGAACAUGCAGAUCUCAACUUACACUAUAUAGUACUGACUUUUUUUUCUUCAUGCACAAGAAAAAAUUCUUUAAAUUUUUUCCUAAUGGAUGGAGAAGAAUUUCCAGGAAGGAUAUUGUUUUUCUUAAAUAUCUAUGUGCAAAAGUGUGUGGAAAAUCAUGAGAAUAAGAACUAAUCAGAAUUUUCUAUUUCCGUGUGCCAAGGGCAUGCCAGAUUCUCUUUUACUAGAAUUCUUAAUUAGCACCAUGUAUUGACCUAAUCCUACGUUCCGUCAUUAUUAUCGAAUGAUCAGCUCACUUUCAUUAUUAUCCUAGUUGUACAUUUUUAUUUUUAUUUUUUGCAAUCAAAUCAUUAAUUGAUUGACAGUUGGAAGAAGAAGACAAAUAUUUUGCAUUCCAAAAACAUUUUCUCAGUAAUGCAGUGCCCCGUGGACCACGUUCCGCAAAGUGGUGGAAAUUGAUGAAAUUUCUACAAUUUGCCCCACCUAUCAAGGUCUAUAAAUGUCUAUAUUACAUGAGAAGUAAAACUUACAACUUAUAUCUAUUUCGUGAAAUAUGGUUCAUUAUUUCUCUUUCAUAUUUUAUCGUUGAAGGAUAUAAACAAGAUUUUAAUUCGACUCAAAAUCUGUCAUUUAUUUAUUCAUCACUAAUGCUCCGUGAAGGAACCUUAUCAUUUUGCAUGAAACCGUUUGGCAUUGAUUAAUUAGACAUCAGCCUUAACAUUUAAAAAAUAAAUAAAAAAAUUACAUUGUUAUUUAUUUUGAAUAUAAUUGACGCUGUCUGCAUAUGGAAUUUAUCAAUUAUUUUAUAGUUUUGAGAUUAUAUUACUUUGUGAUAAUUUUAGAUUGUUUCAUUUUGAUUAAGAUUUCGUUCAUGGUAGUAUUUUAUUUUGAACAAAGCACGUUGUUAUUGAUCUCAUAUUAACAAAAAAUUGUCAUAUGUUGCCUAGUGAAUCGUGGAUCUCAACAUUUUUUACAGUCCUAAGCAAAUAUCUACGUGCAAAAGUGUCAUGCACUACAAAAUCAUAAGAAUAAGAAAAAAAAUCAGAUUUUUCUAUUUUCAUGUGCCAAGGAUAUGCCAUAUUAAAGAAUUACUCUUUUAUUAGAAUUCUUAGCACGGUCUAUUGACCAAAUCCUAUGCUCCAUUAUUGUUAGAAUUCUUAGCACUAUAAUUGAUGACGAUAAACAAAUCAUAAAUGUUUAAUUUUUGCAUGUAAAAAUGAUACACAUAUAUUUAUGACCAAGCAUAAAUUCUAUUUAUUCUAUUAGUACUGUUAAUAAAAAUGCUCAAGUAUUGCAUAAUUAAUUCACAAACAAUUGAUAUUCUUCAUAUUCCAAAUAACAGUAACUGAGUAAGAUAUAUAAUCUUUUAUCUUGUUAUAAGAUAUUUAAAUUCUUGAUUUUUUUAAUUUUUUAAUUUAUUAUUAUUAUUAUUUUUAAUUAAUUUAUUUUUUUAACAAUCAAAUCAUUGAUCAAUUGACAGCUGGAAGAAGAAGAUAGAACUAUUGUACAUUCCAAACAACAUUUUCUCAGUAAAGCAAUGGCUCAUGGACCCCAUUCAGCAAAGAAUUUCUACAAUCAUCUACGCCUAUUAAGGUCUAGACUUAUCUACAACCACACCUUUUUCCACCGUGAGAAGACUUCCAAAUGUCCAUUUUAAAAGUGGUAAACUUAUGUAUCAGUUUUCUAACUUAUGACUCAUAUCUAUACCGUGAAAUAUGGUUCAUUGUUUCGUCUUUCAUAUUCUCUCGCUGACAAGGACAGAUCCCUAAUUUUCAUUAACGUGGGCUAAAAUUUAGAAACAACAUUUUCUCAGUAAUGCAAUGGCUCAUGGACCCCAUUCAGCAAAGAAUUUCUACAAUCAUCUACGCCUAUCAAGGUCUAGACUUAUCUACAACCACACCUUUUUUUCCACCAUGAGAAGACUUCCAAAUGUCCAUUUUAAAAGUAGUAAACUUAUGUAUCAGUUUUCUAACUUAUGACUAAUAUCUAUACCGUGAAAUAUGGUUCAUUGUUUCCACUUUCAUAUUCUCUCGCUGACAGGGACAGAUCCCUAAUUUUCAUUAACGUGGGCUAAAAUUUAGAAACAACGAUGCAAUAAAAUUUAUAGAUAAAAAAAAAAAAAAAAAAAAAAAAAAAAAAAAAAAAAAAAAAAAAAAAAAAAAUUUAUAAAAAAAAAAAAAAAAAAAAAAAAGUCAUCGAAAGACAAUAUUUAUUCAAGUAGUUCUGUUGAGGGUUUGAAACAUGCAAUAAAGAUGGCGUUGAUGACGGUCCAUGACGGUCCAUACAAUGGUCACAACCUGAGUUGGGGUAAACUUCAACACUAUCCCUUUCCUUCUUCACCCCUACUAACUUUUCCAAAUCUGAAACCCACAUCAUAAAUAUUAAACUAUCUUCCUCCAAAAUAAUCAAAGGCGAAAAGGGAAUGCAAAUUAUCUUAGGAAUAUAAAAGACUAAAAAAAAAUGAGAAAAUACAAUUUAUUGUUUCGGAAUCACGAGAUAUAGAUAGAGAGAGAGGAGAUGUCUGGAAUGGGUUUGUGUUUGGGUUUGGGUUGGGGAAAUGGGCUCAUUUUAAAUGUACAUCUUAAAAUGAAGCAUUUAAUUACCAUUCCUCUCAAUGCAAAGCAUUCAAUCAAUUUUGAAAGUCUAUACACUAAAAUGGGUUUGGGUUCGGGAAAUGGGCUCAUUUUAAAUGUACAUCUUAAAAUGAAGCAUUUAAUUACCAUUCCUCUCAAUGCAAAGCAUUCAAUCAAUUUUGAAAGUCUAUACACUAAAAUUUAUUCGAGAAAUACGUUACUUCCUUCAUUAACAAAUGUCGUUUCCUCAUCAGUGGAUUCCUGGCCGACAAAUUUAUUCCUUUUGGUUAGAAAGGUUACUUAUCUCCACUUUUAUCCUUGAAUUCUUUUGAUUUUACAUAACUAAAGAAUAGGAUUGGCAAUGGAGUGGGAUCUAGGUCCCCCACCCCCACCCCGUCGAGCAUUUUCCCGCCCCGUUACUCAUUUAAGGUAACAGGACAAGGUGGGGUCAGGUAACGGGCAGGGCAGUGCGGGGAAAUGCCCCUACCCCUUUUUAUUUUAGUUUUUGAUAAUUCAUUGUAUUGCCCUCAUUCAUUUAAGUGAGACAAUAAUAUAGUUGUUAAAUUUUUAAUUAAUUAAUUUAUUUUUAAAAGUUAAAUUAUUCGAAUAUAUUUGGUAAAAUAAGGUUUUUAUUGUUUAUUAUAUUCCUUAGAUAAUUUUAGUUGCCAUCUUCUAUUACAAUAAAUGAAAUUUUGUAGAGUUUUCCAAUAUUGAAUUUUAAAAAAAAAUAAAAUUAGCGGGGCGGGAUUGGUGUUACUCGUACCCGCCCAGUUCUCACCUCAGGGCAGAAUUCCUCGCCCUGAAUACCAGAUUAAGUUGUUAAUCUCCGUCUCACUUGGGGCGGGUCCUAUGGGUAUCCGAUUUGAUAGGUUUUUUUUUGCCAUUCCUAUUAAAAAAGUAAUUGAGUAAACAUUAGUAAGAACCAAGUAAAAAAAUUAUACUAUUUAAAUAGAAAAUUAAUAUCAGACAAAAAAGACUAAUUUGGCUAAAAAUUACAUGAAAAAGACCCAUAUAAGUAACCAAUCCCAUAAAUCCUACUCAUAGAUGAAACUUACUGACUACCUUGAAACAAUCGAAAGGCAGAUUUCCAAAUAUGGAGCCCAUCUCAAUCGAGUGAGGACUGAUACGGCGUUUCCUAAUAUUCUAGCAUCUAUGAAAGAAAUAGAGAGUAGAGAAGGUGAGAAACACAUGGAGCAAAUAAGAGCAUCGACUCUCUAAAUACAAAAUACUCCUUAUUUAAAAGAGAUAAUACUUAAAAAUGAGCUAUAAAAGACUCUUUAUUUUAACUUUUGUAGAAUAAAGAAUGGAUUUGACUUCAAGUUAACACUUAAAAAUAAGCUAAGCGAUUUUUUAUAUUAAUUUUUAAAAUAAAUAGUGAGUUUAGCUCUUAAAAUUAGAGAGUCAAAAACUCAUUCUCUAUUCUUAAUGUAUAAUGAUUGCAUUUAAUAAGUUAAGGUAUUUCAAUAAUAUUGCUUAAGCAACUCAAACUACAUUUAAAUUGAUUGGCCAUUGACAUAUAAAAAUAACGUUAAUAAAAUAUAAGGAGAAAUUAACAAAUGUUUUCUGAGAAAAGCAAAAUAAAGAGCCAUAAUAAUGAACAAUGUUGAAGUGUAAAAAAAAUUUGACUCACAAAAUUUAAAAACUCUUUAUAUAAUACAUAAGAUGCUAUAGUCUCUUGAAUAUAAGCCAAGCGGGAUGAUGUCUAGGUUUGGGUUUAAACUGGACUAAUGGGUGUUGGACUUGGGCUAUUAUUAAUUUUAAUACAUACGUCCAUUGAUUUGACGGUUGGCUAACUAAAGUAAAUAAUUAAAAAAAUACAUAAUUGCCAUAGUUUGAAGGUAGGCUAACUAAAAUAAAUAAUUAAAAAAAUAAAUAAUUGCCAUAGUUUUAAAAUACACUUUCAAAUUUAAUGAACUUGUAGAAUUCUUUCAGAAAUCAUGUGAUCGCAUUUAUGAUCAUCUGGUAAAGUUUUAUAACUUAUUAAUUUAUCAAACAGGUCAAGAUCAUGAUAACAUAUAAUUAAUGUCACAUUCACAUGCUAAUCAUGUCACAAAAUGUCACGGUCAGAAAAACACAAAUUGUGGGGUGCUAUUUCGAAUUUAAUAUCAAACUACCGUUUUAUUAUGUAGUAGACAAAGAUAUGUAGUGGCGGCGAUGGGCUGCUAUUGCCGUGGGUGUGGAUUGGGAAAUGUGGGUUUGGAUUUGGAAGAAAUGAAUUAAUUGAUGGGGUAGGGUAGUGUGAGGUAGUGUGGGUUAUAGUAUAUACCUGACUCUUGAAAAGAUAAAUGUAAUUCUGAUUUUACAAAUGAAAUGAUAGAAAAUAGGGAUGGGUGUAAUUUUUCCUUAAAAAAUGUAAAAUUGGAUUUUAGCUCGCACGAGUUGAUGCCCAGGACCAUCCAUCCCUAGGAGAAGGUUGUGAUCAUGAUUGUGGUGAUCCUAGAUGGUGGUGGUGGGAUGGUGAUCGGAGGACAUUGAAGUCGCGAAUAGUUUUCAGCACAAUGGUGCAACAGGAGGUGCAAAGGAGGCUGAACCUUUUAAAAAUGUGCAGUGCAGUCUCAAACCUUCAAAAAGAGUAGCACAUAUUUCUCAUACCUUUUAAAUAUAUGUCAUGGAAGGAUCUUUAGACGAUUUUUGUCCAAAAAUCUAUUACUUGACCAAAAGUAAUAUAUUACAUAAAUGAAUGAGAUAUCUAUAUUACUGGUUUGGAUUUCAAUAUGGAAUGUAUUCUUCUUCCUCAUUCAUUUCCCCACUACACUUGCACAAUUACAUUCUGCCUUCCAAAAUUCUUGAAUUUACAAUUUCUAUCCUCUCCCUUUUCAUUUUUCUCCUUAUUUAACCAUAAUCCUUUUCCUAUCUACUUCCUUUUCUUUCCCUUUUAUAUUUAUAGACAAAUAAGAACAUGCUCCAUUCUCUUUCAAUAAACUAACAUCCAUCUCACUCAUUUCCAAUUAUUAUUGUUCAGUAUUUCUUCUCCUUUUGUCUAAGUGUGUUUACAGAAGCUAUUCCAUUUAGUCAAUUAUUUUUCUUGCUAACUCCUCUUAAUUUCUUGUUCUAAUUGCAACCUACUUGUAAACCCAUUUGCCAAUCUUUCUUUUUGUUCUUCUCUUUUUCUUUUUACAAUUCCUCUUUUGAUUUCAAAUUAGAAUAUCAUCUUGCUUCCUUUUCUUUUUCUCUUCUUUCAUUUUUCCUGUUCACCGUUUAUUAUCUUGUGUUUCCUACUAUUCUCCAAUUUUUAAGAUGAAAAAGCACAAAAAAUGAUCCUUACCUCCUUGUUUUGCCAAAUGAAAUGAAAGCACAAAUCUACUGUCAUUCCCUCUUUCUGUUUUUGAUCUCUACUCUAAUUCUUCUUUUUAUUUUAAUUCUCUUACGGACCAUCUUUCUCACCGUAUUGUGUCUCUCUCGAUUGCUAUAUGGAGAAUUCCAUAUGCAAUGUAAUUAUAUUAAGACCCCGUUUGGCCCCUUUUCUCUUUCAUUUUCUUUCUCUUAUUUUCAGCCACGUAAUCUUUCAUAAAAUAAUAUUACAUAUAUUGAAAACUUUUUAUUCUUUUUCAACCAUACAUUCUUAAAAAAAAAUACUAUUCCAACCAUUACAAUUUGGAAAAAAAUGGGGGCUAAAAUAUGGGUUUUAAGAACCAAAUGAUGGGGAUCUCCAAUCAGUUUGCAAGUUCACACCCUUAUUAUCUUACAAUGUAAAUUUUUAACCCUUUAAUUCUAAUAUAAGGAAAAUUAAAUCCCUAGAUUCAUAUUUUAUAUUAACUACAAAUUAGACCCCAUAAAAAUCAUUUGUUCGACUUAAGUCCUUGGCCUUGACUUUGACUACAAAUGAGUGGGGUAUAACAUCUUUCGAGUCUGGUAGUUCCCCCUAUGCAAAGUCUAUCAAGAAAACUCUUCAUGAAUAACAAUGUUAUAUUCUGAGUCAUUGAUCCAAUCAUCUUCACAAUCCAUUUAUUUAGGAAAGACUAUCACCAAUGCUAAUUUGUCCUUUAGACUUGAAUUGAUUUUCUUUUCUCGAGCGUGUUCAAUUAUUAUUGUGCAAGCUUCAACGUUUCAUUCUUCUUCAGUAUUGUACUUAUCAUCCUUGAUGGUAUAAUGCCUUCUGCUUGCUCAUUCUUAAAUCAGCAAUAUCUAGCAUAAUUACCCUUUUUUUCACAUACAAAAUAUGAGACAACAGUCCAUCAAUAUCCUUUAGAUGACUAACCUCUCUUAUAGUAAUUUUUUCUUGAGCCCUCCUUAUCUAAUGACUUUCUCCUAAUUUUUUUUAAUUCUUUAUUAUUUUAUUAAUGAAAUUUGCCUAUUCUUUUAUAGCAGAAUAAUGCUUCUUCUUUUUCUUUUAUAAUGAAACCCCUAACAUUUGUGUGAUCGAUGCUUUUUGGUCGGCCAGCAAUUUUACUACUGCUCUGGCCAACCUUUACCAAUAAAGCUUCUAAAUUCGAAUCUCAAUCCAUGUAUGAUUAUCUUCUCAUUUUAGACUCCAAAAUUUUACUCAAAGAAUUUAAAAUGAAAAAUUUCACAACAAAGAAAUUUAACUUUGUUAAAAUAAUUACAGCCAUUCUCCUUGAACAUAGAGAAGCUCAUUUUUUAGAAGUUGCAACCGCAUAUCAUUUUUCUUUGAGAAUAGUGCCGUUGAAGUGUCCCAUACUUCUUUUGGUAUGUUCUAAUCCCUUACGUGCUCCAACAAUUAUUUCUCAAUAGUUGUUUUUAUAACAAACAUAGCCUUGCUACUUUGAUUCUCCAACAUUUUAGAUUCGUGACUUCUUCGACGGUGUCACAUCACUUCCACCAAAUAUUAGCCAUAGAUCUUACUCUUGGAAAUACAACUCCAUGCGAGUUUUUCAUACAUUUUAGUUCUAAUUAUAAGCUUCUUUACUUCGAUACUACUUUAAGGUCGCUCAUUAUGACUUGAUUUAUCCCAUCGCAACCAAACAAGAUUUAAAAGCUUCACAAUCUCUCUUUCUACAGAAACUCCAAAAGUGCAAAAAUUCUUCCUCGAUCGUCUGCCUUGAUACCAAAUUUUUGAAUUUAAACAACAAGUAAACUAAUUUGAUACACACACAUGUACAAAUCCCUCUAUCUUUCUCUAACACUCAUGCAUACAAUACAAUACAUACAACCAAUAUAACUGCACUAAAAACUUGUUAGCAUGCUCCUUUUAAGGAUUAGGGAUCGAUGUACUACUUUGGCUAUAGGUUGAAAGCUAAUUAUUUAAUAUCCCCACAAAAGAAAAUAACAAGAAAAAAUGAUUUUUCUUCUUAAUUUCUAAAUAGAGUGUGCGGCAUUUAUUUAUUGAAGAAAAAACUAAUUACCUUUUGGUUUGGUGAAUGACUUUCAUUUCCUGCAUGUGUAGAUUUGUAUAGUGAUAACAAGAAAGAUAAUCUGAGUUAUGAAAAUUGAUUCCGUGGAGGACCUCAUUUUUGAAGCUUUUGAGUUAUAAGUGUUGGAUUUUUUAAUUUGUCAUGUUAGGCCUUACAUAUGUAAUCAAUCAUGUAUCUAAAUCUAUAUUAAGGUUAUAUCUAUUUAAAGUGGUCUAAUAAAGAAUUCAAGUUAUUUGGCUUUGGGCAUCUAAUAUGGUAUGGCCCUAAAUAUGCAUAGAAAUCAUAUUCCUCUGAUUUGUAAUUCUUGAUGGGACCAAACACAUAUGAAAAAAAAAAUAAUAAUAAAAAAAAAAAUAUAUAUAUAUAUAGAGAGAGAGAGAGAGAGAUAUGGUCCCCAAACCGUACGUGAUUUCUCAUUCUUUAUGACAUCCCAUCAAACAUAAAAAUAACAGGAGAACGUAUAUCGUGGAGGAAGCUCUGGUACCCAUGAUCUAGAAUCAAUAACAAGGAAUCAAGAUUAAAAAGCAAUAAGCAAGAAUACGCAAUUCAAGAUCUACCAAUCAAACUCAUUCCCAAAGGAUUAAAGUAUGUUCUGUAUUUUAUAAUUCUCUUGGUGAUUUGAUAUAGAAGAUCUUGGCAUCAAUAAAUUGACAACGUUAACAAUCUUUUCUUUGUUCAUUGUUUGAAUCAAUCAAUGUAGAACAUUUUAGACCAAGAAAUUUAUCUAUGCAUGCUUCUAAUUUCAAGUUAAUUGGUGGUAAGUUGGUGGCCAUGUCCUACUCUCUUUGUUAUGUUAGGAUUGUUCAUGAACUGAAACCAAUUGGUUUAUGUCUCCUUUAGAGUUAUUUUACAUUGAGGUGUGUAGAGCCAAUGAUAAAAUGGACCUUGACCUUCUUGAAGGCUAAGUCAUAUAGAGCCACGUAGAGGUAAUGUUGUUAAGAUCGUGUCAUGUGUAGAUAGUUUCCACUCUACUGAUUAGCCUUUAAAACACGUCAAAUAGUGCCCUGCUUGAUUAAGGGGUUUUGCCUUCAUGGAUGAUCAACUCAUUGGUUUCGUGUUUUACUUAGAAUUUUACAUUUGAUCUGUAGGACUUGGAAGUCUUUUGAUCAGUUUCGAGUUAAGAAUUUGUUGCAUCUUGAUUCUUGAACUUGAACACUUUAAGUCUUGAACUUUGAUGUUUGAAGUGUAUGGCAUAAUUGGUGAGCAAUUAAGAAGACUGAAGUAUGGUUAAAGAUUAUGGUUAAGAAUACGGAGGCGGUCGUGCCCAAAUAAACACCUAAAAAGGUCCUCUAAAACUGAACUAGACGUGCUCAAUAUAUUAUUUUCACGCUUUCUAUUUUAUUUGAAUAAAUUUUCAUUUAAUAGUUUCUUAUUAGGUAAUCGAAAUAAAAAUAAGACUUGCAAAAUAAGGUGUUAUUGGAUCAAACGAAGAAAUGUCAAUAUUGGAUUUAAUUAAAAAACAACCUAUCUUAUGUAUGAAUUUGUUCUGUAUAUUCAGAAUUAAGUUGAGUACUUUUAUUAUAAGUUGUGAAUUGUGAUUGGGUCAUUAAUUUUGAUCUUAGUUCUUAAAAUAAUUUGAGCCUCUUUUAUUCUCAAAUUUCGGUAAAUGCUAGCUGUUGAGUGACUUGAGUCAAACACCAUGGCUCCUAAAUAUGUGUUGGGAGCUCAAAAAAGGAAGAAGUGGGAAAGAGUGGAGGCAUUAAUUCGAAGCCAAGCUAGAGAUAUGGAUAAGUACUUUAAUGGUAAGAAAAGAAACGAAAAUGAAGAAACACCAGCAAAUUUAACGAUUGAGGAACAACUGAAUCGGAAUGAUAGUGAUAAUGAUAAUUAUCAUGGGGAUGAACAGAAAGAGAACAAUGAAAUGAUUGAACUUUCCAAUAUGGAUGAGUCGAAACAAAACGAUGAAAAUGAUGCUCAACAUGAAUAUUUUAAAUCAAGAAAAUUGUUUUUCUUUGAAUUUUAAUGAUCCUGAAAAUUGAAGGAAAUUCACAUUAAUCAAAAGAUAAGGAAUUUUUUAGUUGAAAUGGGUCCAAAAAGAGUUGAUGACAUCUUGUUUCCUAGAGAUAGUCAAGGUAGACAUUUUGAUUCAUCACAAUAUAAGCGAUUAAUGGCAAAUGGGCAAACAAUUGAUAAAAGAUGGCUAGUGUAUUCAAUUUCUUUGGAUAAGAUUUUUUGUUUUUGUUGUUAGUUAUUUAAGAUAGAAAAAAUGAUAAGAAAAAAUAUUGGUCAAUUGGGUAAUGACGGAUACAAUGAUUGGCAUAAUGUGCAUCGGCAUCUUACAAACUAUGAAGUGUCUAAGGAGCAUAUAGGUUGCAUGAUUAGUUGAAUGGAACUACAAAAUAGACUUCAAACAAAACAUAUAAUUGAUGAAAGUAUACAAUUGUCCCUCAACAAAGAAAGAGAGAAUUGGAAACAAGUGUUUGCUAUCACGAAAAGACUCGCUAAAAAUAAUUUGGCAUUUCGAGGAGAUUGUGAGCAACUUCAUGUUGUGAACAAUGGACCUUUUUGCAAAUGGUAAAUAUGGUUUUUGAGUUUGAUCCAAUAAUAGAAGAACACAUUCAACGUGCUCAAGCACGCGAGAUUUAGUAUACAUAUCUGGGUCCUAAGAUUCAAAAUGAAUUUAUACAAAUGUUGGCAAACAAGGUGAGAAGUGCAAUUGUCAUAUAAGUGAAACAUGCAAAAUAUUUUUCUGUCAUACUUGAUUGUACUCCAUAUGCAAAUCUACGCAUUGUUCUCUUCUUCUCCCAUACAAUGGAAAUUUUUUAAAGAUAAGGUUCAAGUCUGACACUUAAACCAUUGUCACAAACAUCCUAUGAAGGUCAUAUGGAAAGUGUGAAGCCUAUAAAAAAACAAUCUAUACAAAUAAGAGAUGCUUUGAUUUGGCAAACAUUGUUGAAGAUCAUAAAACAAAAGUGAAGCUAUGUCCUUAACAACAUAUAAACUUGAAAAUUUUGAGUUUUUGCUUGGCAUAUUAAUUUGGUAUAAGUUGUUGCAUGCAAUCAAUACUGUGAGUAAAUUUUUUCAAGCCAAAAAUAUAGAGAAUCUGGGUUUGCUAGUGCCAUGGAUGAAGCUAAAUAGAUGGCAAGUGAAAUAAGACUUGAACCUGUAUUUCAAGAGAGGCGUAGCAUUCGAAGAAAGAAGCAAUUUGAUGAAAGUAGUAGUGAAGAUGUAACACACUCGGUUAAAAAAUCUCUUAGAAUUGAGUAUUUUCUCUUUAUAAUUGAUCAAGCUUGAUCAUCACUUCAAACUCGUUUUGAACAAUUAACACAUUAUGAAGAGAUAUUUGGAUUUUUGUUUAAUUUGGAUAAGUUAAAGAGUAUGCAAGUUGAUAGUUUGUUGAAAUCUUGAGCAGUAAUUAAAACAUAAUGGACAUUCAGACAUUAUAGGUGAUGACUUGUGUUUAGAGUUGAAAAGCCUUAAGGUGCUAUUUAACUAGAGAAACAAAAAGAUCAAUUGAUGUGCUACAUUACUUGAAGAAAAUGAAUUGUUGUUUUCUGAAUGAUUGCAUUGCUUACAAGAUUUUGCUCUCCAUCCGUGUUACAAUUGUAUCACCAGAAAGAAGUUUCUCUAAGUUGAAAUUAAUUAAGACUUAUAUUUGAUCAACUAUGCAGAACAAAGAUUGAAUGGUUUAGCCAUGUUAUCAAUUGAAAAAGAAAUAGUUGAACAACUCAACUAUACAAAAUUAAUUGAUAUUUUUGCCUCGAAAACUGUAAGACGAGCUGUACUUAAGUAAUCUUUUAGAACAUUUUCACAUUGUAAUUUGAUUAUAAUAUACAUAUUUUAAAUAUUUUAUUUUCUUUGUUUUAUUUUUUUAUUUUAAGUUAACAGAUUUAGUUCCUUAAAUCUCUUAUAAAUGAAAAAAAAAAUUAUUGCUAUGACUUAUGGGCUCAAAAUCUAAAGUUAGCCCCUUAAAACACAAGUCUGGCCUGGUUGGAUGUUCUUAGAAAUGGGUGAUUUGAAAUAGAUUUGGUAGUGAAGACCAUAUUAUUGAGUUGCACAAGUUGCUUUACAUGUCUAAUGUUCUAGAUCAAUCAUCCGAAGAGAGGACUAUGACUGACUAGGGAGCCAAACAAUGACGGAGACAAUAAUUAAAGCUUAACCAAAUUACAAGAACAGACUAUAUAAAUGAGAAAUUGAACUUAACACAACAAUUCCAAAAUUUUCUUGUGAAAAAAUGAAAUUUUUAAAGUGUAAAAACUUCUAUAAGUAUAAAAUGAAUAUUUUUAAAAUGGUUUCAUUUGUGUUCAUGUACAACAAUUAGACCGGUCUUAGCUAAGCAAGCAUGAUAUACAAUGCCAUUUAUUGAAUAGCUUAAAGGCUAAUGUCUUGAUAUCUGAAAACAACCAAGUUCUCAAUUUUUUUGGACUAGCCUAAUGGCAACCAAUGGCCUAUAUCCUUCCGAAUAGCUCAAUCGUAACAAUGUGUCUAAAUGGUCUUAUCGCAAAUGUAUAGUCAUCUUCUUAUGAACAGCUUGACGGCAACCAAAUUAUUCAAAGGAUCCGAUGGCAAUCAUAUGGCUCUAAAGGUCUAUCGAAAACCAUGUUAUUUCAAAGAGUUUGAUAGCAAUGGUGUUAUUCCAGACUGUCUAAGGGCAACUAUGUUGGCUCUUUAUCUCCCGAAGUGGAAUGAUUCUUGAAAUUUGGUUGGUGAGGUAACCUUGAACUUUGUUAAUGACAUUCGAGACUUGGCAAGAGAUCUACUUGCUGAGUUUAGUUCACCUAUUGAAUCUUCUGAGAGUAGAUAACAUGUUAGGGUCACUGAUGGCAUUUUUAGCAUUGGCUCUUCGAUAGUAAAUAGAGAAUAGUAAGUAAUAGAGUAAAAUUAACUGUUAAUCAAAAGAAGAUAAGAAAAUACUGAACGGUAAUGUAGUAAUGCACAAAUAUUAUUUGUAGGCCCUUCCCUGUCAUUUAAUUCUGAAAGGAUUUGUUAUCUUGAAAAUGAUAAAGUCAUUGAAAUCAAUAGUGGCACCAUAUUUCUCCCAUUUAAUCUAAGCCCAUUCCUUGGUAAGAACAUCUUCCAUUGUGCUACACAGAUAUUUGGUAAGUUCCUUAUAAAGGUUGGUAUUAGAGAGGAGUCAUUUUUGCAAGGUCGAUAUGCAGUUUGCUGAUCGUAGUUGGGGAUCGAGAUAUUCUUGAAGUUGAACCGUCUUACUUAUUUACAUAAGGAUUCAUUUUCGUGUAUCACAUGGUAAAGAUUGUUAGACCAAUUUUCUAACUUCCUGCUGCUAGUGAAUUGUACAAAAAAUUAAUUGUUCAUUGAGAGAAUUAUUUGGAAUAUUUGCAUAACACUCUGGGGCUUGCCCCUACCAAACUAUAGUCAAUCCCCUUACAUAUAUAGCCUCGUGGAGAUCUCAUGGAGCCACGACAAUAAUUUUUUUGCUUGUAUUGGGCUAUAUGUUCAUUCUGAAAGUCCCACAAUAAGGCUUCAUGUUAGGAAAGCAAAAGUUUUUGUCCAUUUCUAACAAAGCUACUAUUGAUGGAAGAAACUCUACGAUGUAGCUAGCUGCAUCUUCUUAAUAGGUGUUGGUACUCCAAUUACAGGAUAAACAACAACUUCAAAUUCAGCCAGCUUUCAUGUAAACUCUAGUUCCUGAUUGGUCGAUAGGUUGUGUUUUUUCCUCUUCCGACCCUGUAUUCUGCUGUGUUUUGAAUCAAACAUUUGAACAUACUAUCCCAAGUUCAUUUUAGUUAAUUGAAGGCAUUAACCUAAUCGAAGUUUGAAACUGUAAGUGGCAUACUAUCGACGGAUCAAUCACUAAUGAGUCUACCUUCUAUUUUUCUAAAGUCCUUGAUUUCUCAAACACAUCUUAAACUCUAACCGUCUAGACAAAGUUGAUGGUGAUUGAUAGGUAUAAUUUUUACACAUAUUCGGCCAUUAAAAGUGAAUAGUUGUAACUCAAAUUAUAAAAUUACUACUUAAUUUUUUUUAGAUGUGUGGUAAUACAAUGAUUUGGUUCCAAAGUAUCAAUGGGAGGUUGUCAUAUAUCACGAUUAGUGCCUAUAUAUAUAAGUUGGAUGACUCUAUAUGAGCCAAGGUAUUCGAAAUAUUUGGUAGUUGUGAGUCUGUUUGAUCAGAAUCUACAUAUUCAGUAUGGUUGGCAUAAUUAGAUGAGGAGAUGUCAUUUGAGAUAAUAAGAUUUUGUGUGAAACUAAGAUGAUUGAGAUUUAAACGGAGAGAAGUUGCUGUUGCAAUUAAGGUCUUUGAAAAGGAAAAUAUUUUCAUAAAAGAUAACAUUCAUUGAAAUGAAAACUUUUAUUGUCUCUAAAUACCACAAUUUGUAUCCCUUGAUGCUGAAGAGAUAAUCAAUGAAGAUGCACUUUCUAGAUCUAAGGUCAAACUUGUGUGGACCAUUGGCAAGGGUAAUGGUAAAGGCUAGGCAUCCGAAAACUUUUUAGGUGGGUUUGGUUUGGUUUUAAAUAGUAUUUCAAAGGGACUUUUAUGGUCUAAGAUGGGAUGAGAUAUAGGUGAGUACAAAAUCAUUCCAUACUUUAUUGGGAGUCCAUUUUGAAACUUCAAAGCUCUUGCCACAUUCAAAAUACGCUGAUGUUAUCUUUCUACCACAACAUUUUGCUCUAGGAUUUCUACACAUGUUCGUUGGUGCACUAUGCCUUUUCUUAGAUAAAAAUCGAUCAUAUUAAAUUCACCACCAUUGUCUAAUCAAAUGGUUUUAAUUUUGAUUUCAAGUUGCAUAUCCAUCAAGGCAUAAAAAUCUUGUGAAGUAGCGGCUGCAUCAGAUUUUAAUCUCAGCAUAUAAAUCCAUGUGCAUCUACUCAAAUCAUCAACAAUCGAUAAAAAAUAUUUAGAACCAUCUCUAUUGAUUUCAUUACAAGGAUCCCAAAUGUCACAAUGGAUUAAUUCAAAACAUUUUUUCUGUUUUGUGCUGACUUACAUUAAAGGGUGACUUUUGUGUUUCUUUGUUAAGGGACAAUUGGUGCAAGAAUUAAUACUAGAAGAAAUGGGUAUGUGGACUUUGCUAUCAAGAUUAAAAUUAGAGUAUGAGGAAUGGCCUAAUCUGCAAUGCUAUAUAUCAAAUUCUUGAUGCCUAUUGGUAGUUGAUGCAGGUAAGGGAAAUGAAAACUUGCAUUGUUUAAGAACUUCUAACAGAGCUGAAGGAGAAACUCGCUUUCACAGCAUAUGGUAUACUAUAUCUUCCACCUUACCCAUUCCAUUCAUUCUCCAAGUCAAAAGGUCCUGAAUAUACCUAUAGUUAGAAAAAGAAAACAAGGCAAUAGUGUUUGGAAUCUACUCAAUCAUACGCAGCAGAAAAUAAAAACAGAUUUCAAUUGUCCAGUUUUCAAUGAAAUUCCACACAGAGAACAAGAUUUUAGGAACUAGGGUUUUUGUCCUCUUGUGCUAGUAAGAAUAAAAUUCUAUACAAAUUGAAAACCCUAGUCGUUCAUUUAUAUAAAUCCGAACGGGCUUGGCCUGACCCGGUCUAGUAUUUAAUUAACCCAUUUAAUUAAAUUCAGCCCCUGAAUCAAUUCAUCUAAUUAAUUAAUACGGGCCUAUAAAUAAGCGACCCAAUUAAUUAAUUUAUCCGAUGCUUGUUAAAUUAAUUAAUUGGUAAAAUACAAUAUUCUAGUUCUUCUUUUGUGUGUGACCUAUUAGGUUCCCAAUCACGAUACCUAAAGACGUAAAUUAUUAUUUUGAUCUAAUCAAAAUCGAUAAAUUAAAACAUUCCUUUUUAUUUAAGACCAACUCACACUUGUCGUCCCAAAUUGACAUCUAGUAAUGUAUUAGGGCAAUACAUGUCACGAAAAAUGUCAUGUGAUAUGACAAAAUCAAACUUGUUUGUUUACCGUGAAACUAUAAUCCCUUCAUCAGUAUGAUCAGAUCAAUUACAAGUUAUGGAAAUAUGUCAAUCUCGAUUAUCGAUCAUAUAUUUCAUUCCAUUAUUAAGUCAAUAUAAGUCAAAAACUCAUUUUCAACUUAUGAGUAUACCUUGGCCAAAAAUUUCGUUAUCAACUUAAUUGAAUGAAAUGUAGAUCAUAAUCUCUUACUAUCUAAGAGUGACGAAUCCUCUAUUGAUCAUUCACAACCUUCAUAUGAUUCUUGACAUACUUAACGGUCCUUGGUAGAGCAACAUCCAACAUCACCAAAGUAUGACUGCCCUCGUAUGAGGCACUAUGAUGAUCUCAAUUCAAAAGACCAAUUCUAUUACCGACUUUAAAGAUUAACCACUGACAUUCAGAUAGUUAUCCAUGUGAAAUCUCCCAGCGGGUCUCCAAUGUUUUGUUCUAUAACAAAACAUCCACAUGUUCAUUCAAGUGUCACCACACUUUAGCUUGUGAAAUCAGUUACUUACUUCACAAGUAAGAAAUGCCAUACGUGAUGGUCUAUUCGUAACAAUGAUAUUCAUAUCUCGUUAUUACUUAAAACUACAGAUGAUUGGAGAUUCAAUUAUAUCUAAUUUGUAUCUUACAAUCACAACUCUUUGUGAUUAAUAAAUUACAAAGAUUUGAGUCUACGGACUUUAUUAUUUAAUUUAAUUGAAUAUUAAUUAAAUAAUAAAUUUUUCCUAAAAUUGCAUCAACUAUAUAUUAGAAGUGUUUAUGUUCAAAUUUGAUUGAACCUAGGACAUAACACUUACAAACUCCCACUUGCACUAGAUCCAAUCACUUAUGUAUCUAAUACCAUAAGAGCAUACAUGAUGAUCAUGUUUAUACUGCGAAAACUAUUUGUUAGUGGAUCUGCAAUAUCAUCAAUUGUAGAAAUUUGUUCCUUUCUUUGCUUCAUUUCUAUGUGUUAUCUCUCUGAUGAGAUUAUACCACUUUAACACAUGUUCAGAUCAUUGAUGAGACUUUAAUUCCCUCACAUGUGCGAUGACUUUAUUGUUAUCACAAUACAAUAACAUGUGAUCAACAAUAUCAGGAACUACUUUGAGUGCAUUAAUAAACAUCUUGAUCCACACUGCAACUAUUUGAUGCUUCUAAAGCAAUCGUGUGUUAGGUUUUUGCUCUUGAAUCAAUGGUUAUUUCAUGUUUGGAUCAUUUCCAACACACCGCUUAAGAGUAAGCCAAUUUCUUUAUAUAAAAUCUUGAGAAGAUUUUAUCUAUGUAGAUUGGGAUUACUUAAGCAAUCUUCUAGAUCUAUCUUCAUAAAUCAAGUUACUUCUCUCAUAUCGUUCAUGAAGAAAUCCUUUAAGAACCAUUAUUUCAAUGCUGAAAAGUAUGGAUGUCAUUUCGUAUUAAUAUUAUGUCUUAUAUAUAUAAUAUAAGGAAUGCUACAAUGCUCUCACCAUCUUGUUGUAAACAUACGGUUUAUCUUCAGUUUUGAUAAAAUCAAACCUUUUGAUUUUCCCAUCAAAUUGAAUGUUUCAACUCCAAGAGGCUUGCUUUAACUCAUAGUCACGGUAUGUAACUACUGCAACCAAAAUCCGAAUGGAGUUCAGCAUGGCUACAGGUAAAAGGCUUUAUUAAGGUCAACACUUGUCUUUGUUUGUAACAUUUUGCUACUAGCAUUGCUUUGUAUGUACAGAUAUCCCCAUCCAUGUCGACCUCUUCCUUAUAAAGGAUUUACAACAUAUGAGUUUUAUCCCAUCAGGAAGAUCGACCAAGGUCCAAACCUUGUUUUCAUACAUUGAAUUCAUUUUGGAUUCCAUGACCUCAUGCCAGCUAUUUAAGUCAACACUUGACUCUGUUUCUACAUAAUUAGUAGGUCCAUCAUCUCGAUUAAUAAUACUUGAUUAGUAAUCGUGAAUUCGCACAUUCUCGAAGGUCGAAUGAUCUUACCAGUUUUAAAUAGAGCUGUCAUGUUCUCAAGAGUCUCUACUUUCUGAUCAAAAGUGUGUCCCUCGUCAGGUAUAUGAUCAAACUCAGAUUCAUCUACCUGAUCAACAAUAUCUGUGGAUUCUUGAACUCUUUUAAGUUUUAUUUUGCUCCCACUGUUAUCUCCUAGAGUAAACAUUUUCUCUAAGAAAAUGAUAUAUCGUGAGACGAAAACUUUCUUCUCAAUGGGUUAUAGAAUUGAUAUCCAAAUAUCUGUUUUAGAUAUCCCACAAAUAUGUAUUUAUCAAAUAUAGUCUCAAACUUAUCCGAUUCAGCGUACUUCUCAUAAGUGUCACAACCUAAACUUUUACAUGAAAUAAGUUGGGCUUUUCCUUUUCCAUAACUCGUAUGAAGUUCUGUCGACUGAUUGGACAUGACUUAGUGUGCAGCACAUUUCAAUUAGUGCACGAGCCCAAAACGAUUUUGGAAGGUUUGCAUGACUUGUUAUUAAUCACACUAUAUCUAAUAGUUCACAAUUUCUAUUUUCAGAUACACCACUAUGUUGCAACAUAUGUAAAGGAGUCCACUGCAAGAUAAUCUCAUUCUCUUUUAGAUAAUAUAAAAUUUCAUCUUUAAGAUAUCUUAUCUUGACCGGAUCUUAGUAUGAGGAUAUCUUUACAUAUUUGUUUCUCUACUCUAGCUUGAAUCCUUUGAACCUUUCAAGAGCUUUAUACUUGAAUUUCAUCAACUUAACUGAAUGAAAUGUAAAUCAUAAUCUCUUACUAUCUAAGAGUGACGAAUCCUCUAUUGAUCAUUAGCAACCUUCAUAUGAUUCUUGACAUACUCAAACAAUGUCGUAUUAGCGGCCCUUGGCAGAGCAACAUCCAACAUCACCAAAAUAUGAUCGCUCUCAUAUAAGGCACUAUGAUGACCUCAAGUCAAAGGACCAAUUCCACUACCGAACAUUAGAGAUUAACCACUGACACUCAAAUAGUUAUCCAUGUAGAAUUUUCGAGUGGGUCUCCAAUAUUUUGUUUUAUAACAAAAUAUCCACGUAUUCAUUCAAGUGUUACCACACUUUAGCUUGUGAGAUUAGCUACUUACUUCACAAGUAAGAAAUGCCACACGUGAUGGUCUAUCCAUAACAACGACAUUCGUAUCUCAUUAUUAUUUACGACAACGAACGCUUUAAGAUUCAGUCAUAUGUAAUUUUUAUAUCACAAUCACAACUCCUUGUGAUUAACAAAUUACCAAGAUUUUGAAUCUACGGACUUUAUUAUUUAAUCUAAUUGAAUAUUACUUAAAUAAUAAAUCUUCCAUAAAAUUGCAUCAACUAUAUAUUAAAAGUGCUUAUAUUCAAAGUUGAUUGGACCUAAGGCAUAACACUUACAAACAGAUUAGAGAUUGAACAAGUUUCUUUGUAAAAAUUAUAUUAGAGGUAAAGCUAAGAAUUUAAAGAACAUCAUGGAGAGUGAGAGAUUUUGAAAAUUUGACGGUUCCUACAUGUGAGACAAGAACAUUUUCUCCAUUUGGUAAAGUAACAAAAUAAGAUACACUAGCUUGAUUAGAUGUAAAAAAUAAGUAAAGAAGUUCAUGUGAUAUGUUGCUCCUCUAUCAAGGAUCCAUGGAGUAUCAAAAAUAUUUUCUUGCUUGUGAUGGAAAGAAUUUUGGCAUGAUGGUAUACCAGACAUUUUAUGGAUCAUUUCAUUAGUUGAAAAAGGAGUAACAAAGGCCUGAACGUUUCUUACCAAAGAAGUGAAAGGUUGAGAGUUUGUUGGCUUGGGGAGUACCAUCAGCUGAGAGUACUGCUCGUGAUUUAGAGAUACUCUGCCAUUGUCCUUUACUACCUCCCGAGUAAAAGUCAUGCCUGCAGAAACCAUGGUAGCAACAGAUUUUCCAUAAUCAUUAAACUUAUGCCCUGGUGGAAAUCCAUGGAGUUUAAAGCAUUUUUUUGCAUCACGUCCUUGCAUUUGACAAUAAGAGCAAACUGGUCUACUUGGGUUUGUCUUAAAGCAACAUUCAGGAGAAUGGUCUGGAAUUAAGUGCAGUAAUAUCUGUCAUUUUUCUGUGAUGAAAGAUUUGGCUUGCCUUCUUCUCUAAAGUUUCUUUUACUAAGAAGAGGCAUGGAGUCAUAACUUAUGGUAUUUGGGUUGAAUAUUUCCGUCUCUUCUUUUCUUGUUGAAUUAGGGAUUAGACUUCAUUCAGGCUAGGAAAUGGCUUAAUCAACGAAAUUUGGGCCUUGAUUAUCUUUUAGGACUAAUUGAAUCACAUUAAAAAUUUCAUAACCCAAUUCCUUAGCUAGUUUUGAACUACAAUCUUUAAGCCUCCACUUGUAUAGUUAGGAAUACUCUUGUAGUUUGGCAAUUCAUCCAAAAUGAUUGUGAGUUUAGAGAAGUAGACACUUACAGGGUCUUGAUUAUGCAUUAAGACUGUGAUAUCCUUCUUGACUUCAAAAAUGUGUGAGGAAAUUUUGCUGAGAGAAAUGUUGCUCAAGGUCAAGCCAAAGAAAAUGAAUUGUCUCAGCGUAAAGAGUAUUGUUCUAGAUAUUUACAAUAUAGCAUUUUGCAUCCAUGUUUAACAACUUCUUUAUGCCUUAGCCAAUACUCUAUUAAUGGAUCUUUUACCUCAAAAAGGUUGCCAUCUAUGAACUUGAGCUCAUUUUUUUAUCAUUAAUGCCCUUCUUAUUGAACGAGCCUAGGAGUAGUAGUAGCUAGCAACCAAAAUGUGGGUAAUAAGCAUUACAGCACUUCCAUCAUUGCUGCCGAUAUAGUAAGGACUACUGGGUUGAGUUGGGUCAUGAGGAAAAACUCCUGAGUUGCUUCCACCAGGCUGCUGUAUGUUUUGGCUGUGAUUUGGACUGAGGUUGGUGUUUGGAGAGGAAUUUGUAUUCCCUACAUUGGAUUCUUCCGUUUAUAGUUUUGAUACCUUAUCAGAUUUUGAAGAAUAAAAUUCUAAUGCAGAAAAAUUGUGAAAAUGUAAGAAUUGUAUUCAUUCAAUCUACACAGUCAAUGUACAAAUUUGAGCGCUAUAUACAUGUAAAGGAAUCCAUAUCUAACUAAUUCUAUACAAAGAAUGCAGUUACAAAACAGAAAAUUCAAGCUGUACAAUCACAAAAUGUUAACCAUUCUUCUAUACUCUUCUGUUGCUACCUCGUCACUGAACUUAGCUGGCUUGCUUCCUGCUGACUGUGCCAAUUCUCUAGCUGAGCAAUAAUUUCAAGCUUCAACAUGUGUAUUUUAGAUAUCUGUUGAAAUUGCUGCUAAUGUUUGUAGUGUACAUUAGCGUAGACUGCCUUAAUGGCAUGGAAAAUAUUUCCUGUUGUGGUGAACUUGGCAAGAUUGUGCGCACAUUCAGGGGCGGAUCGAGAUUCUACGUUCAACUAGGGUGGUUGACUUUGACUUUGACCAUUAAUCGUUGACCAUGCUAAAAUUUGAUUAAAUAAUAUUAAAAACUGUUCGAUAUAUAUGAAAACAUUAUAUACAUAUGAAAAUAUAGUUCAAUACAACCCAAAAUACUAAAAAAAUAUACGAUACAACCUUACUCUGUAACUGUAAACUUAGACAACUGAAUUCUAUGAGGUCUCAUAUUUUGAAAACGUUGCAAUAUUGCCUCAUUCUUAACUUUUUUUAAAAGAUCUUUUUCCACAUAAACCACCAAAUGGUCAUUCAACGAGUCAUCUCCCAUUUUGGUGCGCAAGUCACUCUUGAUUAAAUUCACAGUGGAGAAUACCCUUUCAACACUUGCAGCUGCGACAAGUAAUAUCAAAACCAAGGUGAUCAGCCUAUAAACCAAUGGAAAAUAACAACUACUUCCAGUUUCAACCAACUUCUGAGCUACACAAGAUAUGCUUUUGAGGUUAAAGAAAGCUUUGUCCAUUCUCAUAAGCAUAACUAACUUGUCAAGUUCAGGUCUAAGUAAUAAAAGCUCGUCGCUAUUGAAGUCCAAAUGAUAGAACUGGGCAAGACGUACCAAUUUAGCCUGACCAAAAGCUGCAAAUGAACUUCUUGGACUUAAACACGAAAUGUAAUCAAAGAACUCAGUAGUUGUUUCUGAAAAACGAUCAUUCAAUUCUUGCAAGAUUGAGUCUAUCACAUGACAAAACAAAUCAACAUAAAAGCGAUGAUAAUAAGUCACUUGUUGAGCUGCACGCCUAGGCCGACCUUUCAAUACUACAAUAUCUUCCAUAUUGGGCACUGAAAUAUGUCUAUCAACACAAACCUUUUCAAUUAGAAUUGAUUAAAAAAUCACAAUUCUUAGUAAUAAUUCCUAAAUCCUAAUUUCCUUUGCUACGAAGAUAUGAAUUAAACAUUGAUUCACUAUCACUAAUAACUAAUAAGUAAUAAGUAAUAACAUGUACAACACUCAAGCCAAUCAACACUUCAAGUCUCCAAAUCUCCAACAGAGUCACUCAACUCAAGUCAUCCAAGAUUCCAAGUGCUCAACAAACUCUCAACACCGUCACUUCAGGCAUCAACAUACAACAAAUUGAACAAAGGGUCGGCAAAUUUCAGUUGCACCAGCACAAUUGCACAAAUCAACAAACACAAUACGUCAAGUCGUCAACACAGCAACACUCAAUUUCUCAAUAGUCAACACAAUAAAAACAGUCAACAGACAAAGACAAAGUUGAGACAAUUAGAAUUCAGACAACCAAAACAAUUCAAUUAACCAAAUAUUCAACUCUUCAACUUUAAAUAUUGAACUUAAUAAAUUUUAACUCACCAAUCAAUCACCAAUGCUGCAACCUACAAUGUACACUGCAGGCUGCUUGUGCCCGACCUCACCACUCACGGCUCACCUCGGACUACCGUCCUCGGAGUCUGUCUCUGGUCUGGUCGGAGAAGACAGAGAUUCCCCCCUAACUCUAAGACUUCGCACACAGCACACUGGCGGACACGCAUGUUCACCGGCUCAUCUCACCGCCUCCAUCUAGUGCUACUGCUUCGAAUGGAAAUUGAAGGGUAAGUCAAAGUGGGUAACUAGUAUCUAUAUAAGGGAAGGGACCAACUGACUAAGGGUUUGCGAUUUUAUGGCUGAUUUUAGGUUUGGGAGUUGGGAGAAAUAUCAAUUAAAACCAAUAUAUCCAAUUAUCCAUGGACCGUUGAAUGGAUCCAAUUUCUAUAUUUGGGCCAAAAAAAUUUUUUUAAAAAAAUAAGCCCAAUUUCAGUUAGAUUAGCCCAAAGAAAAAAUGAGAAAAGGGGUCGUCUUCUCCUCUUUCGGUUUCGGCUGAAACUGAGUUCCUCCGUCUGGAAUUGUUGCACGCAGGCAUGUCUACUACCAACCUGGCGGCCACUGAAUUGACUGAAGACUCCGGUGGAGCCAGCACGUGCGGUCGCGCCCCUUUGCAGGGUACUGGCUCUACCACUGCGCACAUUGGAUAAUCGAAAUUCCAAGAUUAGACCCUCUGAUUGAAAUUCCUUUCUAAAUAUAAUGUAGUAGAAUCAGAAGGGUUCCUUUACAAUAUCUUGGGGAAGUCAUAUUUGAAUAUAUGGUUAAUUUCACAAACGGUCACUGAAGUUACUCCAAAAUUACAAAACGGUCACUGAAGUUACAAACUUGCACUGACGGUCAUUCAAGUUAGGGGCGGUUUCAAUAAUGGUCACUGAAAUUUGUAAACUUGCACAAAUGGUCACUUUAGUUACCAAAAUGAUUAUAAUUCAAACUUAAGGACCAAAACAUGUGAUCAUACAAAAGGAGGACCGCAAGUGCAAAAUUAUAACCGUAAAACACCCAAACCCUUUGGAAAGUUUCACAACCAAUUUCCAUCUUAAUUGGGGCCGAAAAUGGGGGGAAAUUGGGCAAAAAUCUUGCCUAAUCGUCCAAUAAAUUGCUCCCAAUCCUAGGUGAGUGAAAGAGGAAUUAGAGCUACGCAACAAUAAACUGGCAGAGGAGCGUUGGUAUGCGCAGGGAUUAGCAUCUGCUGCUGUUGAGUUAAAGGCUCUGUCUGAGGAAGUUGCAAAACUAAUGAAACACAAUGAAAAAUUAGUUGGUGAGCUGGAAGUGCAAAAAAAUUCUGCAACUCAGCGUCGAAACACUAUUGCCAACAGGAAUGGCAGGAGAGAUGGUCAUGUGAAACGACAUGAGCAAAGUGUGUUGGCCUCAGUUAUGAAGAGAGAAAUGGCCCUGAGUUGUGAAAAAGAGCUUUCAUACGAAGCUGCUCUAGUUGAAAAGGAUAAAAGAGAAGCUGAUUUACAGAGGAAAGUUGAAGAAUCUAAACAAAGAGAAGCCUACCUAGAGAAUGAACUCGCAAACAUGUGGGUUCUCGUGGCAAAGCUAAAAAAGUCUCAAGGAGUUGAAAAAGACUAAUCAAAAAGAGAAGCAUAAGAUAUCUGAUGACUUUCAGAUAUGAAAUAGUCAGAUGCCAAUGUAAGGAUUUUAGGAGGUAGUAAUUGUAAGAAGAGAUUGAAGAGACAAAAUUUUCCUUGCUAGUUGGGCGGAUUGGGUUGUGCAUUGUAGAGUUGAACACUUUGUUUUAUUUUUUGCAUCAAAAUUUCUACUGUAAGCCAAAUCAAACUUUGCAUGAAGAUUCUUUCGCUUCUUAUAUAGUUGCAGAAAAAAUUUUGCCAGAAAAAUUUCUACUGUAAGCUACUCUUCGAUUUUGCCAAAAAAAUUGCAGAAUUUUUUUUCUUUUGCGGUUUUUCCAGAAAAAUGAAGAAUUUGAGGAUUUGGGUUCUUGAUUUCAAGCUCACCUAGGAUUGGGUACAAUUUAUUGGAUGAUUAGGCAAGAAUUUCUCCCAAAUUUCCCCCCAUUUUCGGCCCCAAGCAAGCUGGAAGUUGGUUGUGAAGCUUUCCAAAGGGUUUGGGUGUUUUAAGGUUAUAAUUUUGCACUUGCGGUCCUCCUUUUGUAUGGUCACGUGUUUUGGUCCUUAAAUUUGAAUUAUAAUCAUUUUAGUAACUAAAGUGACCAUUUGUGCAAGUUUACAAACUUCAGUGACCAUUAUUGAAACCGCCCUCUAACUUGAAUGACCGUCGGUGCAAAUUUGUAACUUCAGUGACCGUUUGUGAAAUUAACCCUUUGAAUAUAUGUUCUUGUUUUUCUUUAGUUAAAAUUUAUAUGUUGGAUUGUAUUAAGUGAAUGCAAGGAUGGUUUAGAGCAUGUUUGUUAUACAAGACUCUCAAUGGUGAAGGAGUAUUUAACUUGUAAUACUGUCAAGUAAGUCAAACAUGUCUUUAGACCUGUAUUCGGUGGGUUGGUUUCUAUAAAAUUUGUGAAUUUGAUAUUUUAUUCUUAACGCUGUUUAUUUUUAAUGGAUGUUGAUAUUAAUUGGAUUAUUUGUUUUAGCAUAGGUUUUUACUAAUAGAAGACAAUACAAUCUGGAGUAUUUACUGGUUACUCAAUUCUCUCUACUGAUUUUGCUCUCCAAAAUGAUGCCAAAGUUAAUUACGUUUCAAAAAUUGUAGUAGUAGUAGCAGUACUACUACUAAGAAUAAUAAUAAUUUACUCAAAAUUAAUUUACUUACCAAUAUCGAAUAUCUAAGUCGAUUAAUUUGGUUCAAUUAUUUACCAUUACUAAUUACGAAUAUUUAUUUUCUUAUUUUUAUAGAUAUUGGCAAUGGAUGCCAAUCGAGAAGCAUAUGAGACAGGAUUUAUUGAAAAGGCAAUUCAUUGAUUCGGAUGCCAUGACUAUUCUUAAGGGAUUUCUAUCCAAUGUAAGUCUCUAUCUAAUUAUUUAAGCUCUUAAACGAGAUUAUUUUUAAUAAACUUCAACGACAGUGAAGCAACAUAUAUAUGAAGUAUGGUUUCGUUAAACUGGGCCACUGUAAAAGAAUAAGUUCUAGAAUAAUUCUGCUUAUUCUUGAUGAAAACUAUGGAUAAGAAGGGAGUUUCUAUUUUGCAUUUGUGGAUGCUGAUAAAGAAAACUGCGUGAACUACCAUUAAGAGUUGAUUAAACUAGUGAAAAUUGGUGGAGUUAUAGAGUGUGACGCACAUUAUGGACUGUUACAACGGCAUUAUCAGACGAUAAAGUGGACAAAGCAAAUAGAGUGCACAUCAGAGACUUGAACACUUUCUUAGCAGCUGAUUCUCGUUCUGGUUUGGCUCAUCUUUCCAUUGGAGAUGGCUUCAAUCUUUGCGGUGCCUCAUAUAGCUUAUAAGAAGAAAAUAAGAUAUAACAACUGUUAUUGUUGUAAAAGAAAUUGAACUUUAUUGGUUACUCUGUCUAUUGUUAAGUUGUAUAAAUCAGUUCGUGUAAAUGAACAUCAUAAUUCAUUUGUUUGAUGUGUUGGUUAUUACAAUUUUAUUUGAAGCUGAAAAGGGGUUCCUUUUUUUGAGUAGGCGAUAAAUUUAUUUAUGUUUGGUGUAGAGAUGGAGAAGGGAGGGCCGUACUUGAGAAACAAAAGAGGAGUAAUGAAUGAGCAUUGGUAAAAAAGCAGGAGCUUGAGUCUGCUAAGAAGAAGAAGGUCCUUUUUUUUUUUUUUUUUUUUUUUUCAUUAGACUUUAAUCUGGUAAAUACUUCUUUGGUCACUUAGUUUGUUAACUGCAUGCAUACACAGUUUCUUCUCCUUUGUCUAAUUUUUUAUAAUCAGUCAUUUUUCCUAAUGUGGUAUGAAAUUGAUUUUGCUAGAUAUAUUUUGGAGGGCGAAGAAUUGGAGUUUUACACGAAGAAACUCCAGAGGAAGAAUGGAAAGGGUGCCAGUGGUUCUACAUAGAUCUCAAAAUUUUGCUACCAGAAAAUAUCGUCUUAUAAUACUUUCCAUUUUAUCCUUUGCAAUUUGCUUCCAGCUAUUGAGAAUUAGAUUGAACUUUUCUACUGUCAUACUAAUUAAUGUAUGUUGAGAAUUAUGUUAAGUUGGUUGAUGUUGCCAAUGGUUAAAUGUUAUUCUUUUUUCAUGUACUAGUAAAACUUAAAAGGGGUCCCGCUAUCGACCACUGGAUUCGAUGUAUGCGCGCAAAUAUGAUUAAUGUGAUUUUUUAAGUUAGUGUUAUUUGAUAUAUAUACGCAAAUUGAAGGAUGAAUAAUAUAUAUAAAAUUAAAAGCAUGUAGUAAUUUUAUUUUAUUUUUAGUAGAAAAUGUUGACCCUUGAAAAUGGCCAACAGAUUUCGUUGGAGGACAAUGUGCACAUGGACGUGCUUCGAGUGUGUUGAUUGUAAAAUAGAUAUUGUUGUGGAAGAAGAUGAAUAGUAGGCAAUGAAAAUAUUGUAUUCCCCUCUUUGUAUUUUUUUCAAGAUCAUUCGAUUGAUUUGUCCAUUGCCUAUUUAUAGUGAUUAUGCCAACGUGGUAAUCGUUGGAUUGAAUCCACGUGGUCUGAUUUGUAAACCCUAACAGUUAAAUCAACUCUAUUACUUAUUAAUUACAUUGAUAGACAUUUUUGACAAGAGAUUAGUUACUCUAUAAACUAGGCUGACAUGCCUGACACUCAUUAACUGCGCACGUCACAUUAGUCAACUGUGAAGACGUGCUUGUCUGACCCUCUUCCAGUUGUGAAGGACUUUGGAUAGUAGAGGGUGAAUCACUUCGGCAGAACUUAGUGCAACGAUAUCAGCACUUUAUUUGACAACUUCAGAUGUUAGUCCUUUCUACACCAAUUCUUGUGUACUUGCCAUGUGUAUGAAUGUGAGGUCUCCAAGUAGACCUUUCUGUAUUGAUUAGUAACAACAGUCCUCCAAGUUUAUUUAUGAUCAUUCAUGUGGUACAUAGAAUUUAUAAUUUCAUAAUUUCCAAGAAAAGAAAUCCAUGAUGGAUGCCAGACCCCAAGUCUAAUUUAUCAACAUCGAUGUGGGAAUUAAAAUUUAUGAGAGGGAAAUGACGUUGAAAUUUGAGUUUAUAGUCCCCCGAUUUAGUUUGGGUCUCAAUGGGGAUUAACUGAGGUGCUUUCGUAGCAGAGCCAAAGCUCUUAAAGUGGUAGGCUGAGGUACCUUUGUAGAGUAGCGUUGCCAAGGUUAUGAGUGCCAGAUAAAGGGGCUGGAUAGGGUUAACAUGGGAAUAUAUGAAGGGUCUUGAGCGUUACUAUGUAAACAGAAGCUCUAUGCUGUGUGAGACGAUUUUGAUAGUUUGAACAUCUUUCAUCAUUUAUUACCACAGAUUGCGAUGCUGACUUUUGGUCUUCUCGAGGAGGGCGAUAUCCUCAAUUUUCAGCGUAUUGCAUGUGUUUUAAUCUGGGCCUUGAAACUAAAACUUUGGUUUCAUAGAACGGCCUAUAAGUUUUCUGAAUUCCAACGGUCCAAAUCUUAAAGAUUUGACCGUAAAAAAUGCAUGUGUUUGCCUAUAAAAAGCUCAUCCUUUGCUUUGAACGUUCAUUUACUGGUACAAAUUACUUUGUUUUGUUUCUUUGCAAUAUGACCAAAAAUCAUACUUGGUGGAUUUUGAACGGAGUCGAUGUAAGUGAUUGCUUGGUUUUGGACAAUGUCAUGGAGAGUGCAAGUUGGGUGAUCCUUGGUGCAAUGUAUGGGAUGCUUGGAUUCAUGAAAAUGAAAAUGCAACCUUAGCACAAUCUUCUUUGAACGUACUGGUAACAAUGUUGAAGUGCGGAGGGUCGCCCACUGCCUUGAAUGAAUUAUGUUGCAAUAGGGUACGAAUCCCAACCGAAGUGCCUUGAGCCGCACUACGUAGAUCCACAGGGAUUGGUAUUAACAUACCUCUCCUAGGCAACUAGGUUACCUCCUCUGUCAGUAUUAACUAGGCAGAGUGUAUUGUGGCCAUAUCAUUGAGUUUCGACAUAGCCCGACAGAUCGCGUGAUUGUAAAUGUUGCGGUAUAUGGUGGAUCAUGCCCUUGUACUAGUCCUUCUUCUUAUCAUUUUGUAGGCAACUUCUGUGCCUUUUCACGGGGGUCAACCUUGAAAUGGUCUGACCCUUUGCAUUAUUCUGUCCAUGAAGCAAGUUUUUAUUUCUGAGGUGGACACAUUCGGGCUUUAUUGGAUUGAACCUCGUAGACGCUUGCUGUUUAAGCUCAUAUUUUGAAGUACCUCUAUGGGCUGGGCCCUUUGGGCUAUUUUUCUAUUCCUUUAGAGGAACUACCUUAGAAAAUGCCGUGCAUUUUGUUGAGGGCUUCGUUCGACCACUUCUUCCUUGUGGUGGUGAGUAGAUCAUGUCAUGUCACAUGCCCGAAAAUAAUGUAAAAUAACACGUAUAAUGGUACUGGUAGGAACGGUGUAAUGGGUCGUGAAAUAUGCUAGCCUUAGUUAUUACAUGCAAGCUAUUAGAAAUCUCAAAUUCAAAAGUAGAUGAUAAAACAACGGUAUUUAAGAACGAGGCAACUUAAUGAAAAUUUUCGCAAGUACUCGUAGUAGAUGUGCCCUAAAGCUUUUAUUGAAGGAAAUGAGGUUGUGUACCGAAGCUGCCUACUUCAAAUUCAUUAUGAAGGGAGUUGAUGUCCUCAUUUUUCGAAGCUCCUUGACCUUUGUGUUAGGCUGUUUUGAUAGUUGGUGCAUAGUCCUCCUUUUCAGGGUGUAUGCGUAUUUGGGGUGGUUCCAUGUGGGGUCUUCUUUUGCCAUUUUCUGGUUUCGGCCGAGGUGGUUUCAUCUUUACCUCUUUUUUGAACGGACUUUUACAUGGCUCGUUUUUAGGUUAUAAAUGAGGUAGGGGUACGUCUUUUGAUCUACUUUGAUUCUCUUAUUUGGAUGGGGCUGAAGUUUUUAGCCUCGGAAUAGGAGGAUCAACUCCCAUCUCUUGAGCCAAAGUUUUUUUAGGUAAGAUAAUUCUAUGAGGCUUAUGUCUGAGCUGCUUUGACUGGAGUGGACAAUGUCUCACUUUUCAGCCGUUGUUGUCGAAGGGUCGGCUUUUACUGGCUGACGUUAUUGGACCUACCUCGACAAUUAUAUGCUUUAGCGCCUCUUUCCACAAGAGGAGCUAAUCCGAGGUAGCCAAAAUUGACGCUCAUUUUUUCAGACAAUGUCUUUUGUCUUUCACAUAAGGAUGGUGGUUAUGACAUCUGUCUCCUGACUCUAUCUCUUGGAUGGGAUGGAGAAGACAACAUAUCACUUUUCUGUGGGGUUUGUGUCAUUAGUUCACCGACCUGCUGUGAAGGUCAGCUCAUGUGGGCCAGGGUUGUAAAGUCCGGCUUGGUAGUUAUAUGUCUUAGCACCUCUUUCUGCAAAAGGGCUUCCUUGGGCCUAUGUUUUUUUCUUCUCGCGCGAUCAAUCUUGGUUGGUCCGCAUCCGAGCUAAUGUAGCUCGUCUUUCACGCCUAUUCCUAGGGGAGGGAUGCAUGUAUCUAAGAGCUAGCUUAUCUGCGAUUCCCAAUUGAGGUUGUGCACGCUGAUCUUCCUAUGAAAAGGAGUUGAUUAGAUGUGGCCUAUUCGAGGCGAUAGGAGGGCACUUGGCUUGAGCUGGUGGAAUGGGAGGUCGGCCCUGUCUGUUUCUUGUAAAACCAAGCCUAUUGAAGACACUAGCUUGUCUCCUUGGCACGUUAGCCAUGCUGCCUUCCAAUGGAACAACAAUCUCCUGAGUUAUUCAACCGGUGUUGUAGUUGGCAACCAUGUCCAUAUUCGUCCCUCUUCCUAGGGGAAUGACUUUAUCGUUUUGUGGGGAUUUGGCCAGUUGACCUUGCAUGCAUUCUAGCAGUUUACGCAUUGCAGCGUUCUGUCGAGAGAUUGUUCUUACCUUUCUGAUGACGGUGACCAUCUCUCUGGUGAGCCUUACUGCUAGCCUAGGCCUGCUCCUCAAGCCACUUCUUUGGUGGCAAGUCGCGGGGGUGAUUAGCAACGGUUCCUGGAUUAUUGGGGUACUUUGUGAGGAUGUCUCUUCACCAACGUGUUCUUUGGCCUGUCUUGGUGCAAUUUCUUUCUUCUUCGGACUCAUAGCUGUUCCUUCUUGGUAGACAGCCCUUCUCUGGUUCUGUUUCAGGUGUUGUUUUCCUUUAUUCAAGGAUUUUUCCUUUUACUCAAAGGUUCUUCUCCUUGGCCUUUUUUGAAAAUUCAGGUAUUCUCUUUAUACGUGGAAUUUUCUUGGUUUAGUUGUUCCAAGUUUUUCACGAGCAACAGGUGUCGUUGAAGGACAAUGUGCACAUGGGCGUGCUUCGUAGUGUGUUGACUGUAAAAUAAAUAUUGUUGUGGAAGAAGAUGAAUAGUAGGCAAUGGAAGUAUUGUAUUGUCCUCUUUAUAUUUUUUUCAAGAUCUUUCAAUUGAUAUAAGUAUUGUCUAUUUAUAGUGAUUAGGUCGAUGUGGCCACCGUUGGAUUGGAUCCACGUGGCUUGAUUUGCCGACCCUAGCUAUUACAUCAACUCCAUUACAUAUUAAUUAAAUGUGAUAGACUUUUAACAAAAGGUCAGUCACUCUAUAAACUAGGCUGACAUGCCUGACACUCAUUAACUGUGCACGUCACAUCAGUCAACUCUGAAGACGUGCUUGUUCGACCCUCUUUUGGUUGUAAAAGGCUUCGGAUAGUAGAGGGUGAAUCACUUCGACAGAACUUAGUACAACGACCUCGAUACUUUAUUUGACAGCUGAGGAAGUUAGUCCCUUCUGCACCAAUUCUUGGGGUGCUUGCCAUGUGUAUGAAUGUGAGGUCUCUAUGUGGCCUUUCUGUAUUGAUUAGUAACAGAAAACAACAAUGUGCAAUGAAUGUUACUAAAAAUUAAUGACGAUGUGGCAAAAACAUAUGCUAAAAGGCAAAUGCAAUAUGCAAAUAGUGAUGCAAAAAAGCAAAGGCAAAACAUAAAAAAAAUGUUGCAAAUUAAAACACAAAGGCAAUAUGCAAAAAAGUUGUAAAAAUGCAAACACGAUGAUUUUUAAGGUAAAGAAGAUAGUGAGAAGAGAACGUUGCAAAAGGUAUAAGUGCACAUUCAUUGAACAUUGCAAAAAAGUAAAUGGCAACAUUCAUUUGCACCUUUUGCAAUAUGCAAUGUACAUUGUUGUAUUCUUUUACCCUACGAGAACAUCUAAGCUCGCAACAUACAUCUGAAUGUUGCAAAGGAUGUUUCGCAAUGUUUUUUGCCCAUUACAUGAUAUUGUUUUUGUUAUAGUGCAUAUUCAUCACUUUAUUACUUAUUCAUGAUAUCGUACAAUUAAGAAAUUUUGUUGAUCAAUGACACCACUAGAUCACUAAUCUCUUUAGAUAGACUCUAUUUAGAGGCAUUCAGAGGUAAGAUCAUAUAUGAUUGUUUUGUUCAACUGAUUAAGAGGUGAGAUCAAACUAGAUAUGCUCUGCUGUUGGGAUGAUGUGUCCCGCUAGUGAGGCAAUCCCAUCUGCAGGUUAAGUGCCUAUUUGACAACCAUUCUUGUAGGAAAAAUGUUUUAAAUAGCGAUUUUUAGAAGAAUGUGUUGUUAAAAAAAUAGGAAAAAUUUUAGAACUAGGCGAAGAAUAUUUUUUGUGGAAUGUAUAAUUGAAAAUGAUCAUGUAACAAUAUAUAAAUUAAAUUAUUGAGAAUCAAACAUGCCCUAAAUUUUGUCUACUAGGUUGUGUUGACCUUGUAGUGAUGAAGUCUUGGAGGUUUUGAUUUUACCCAUUGGUUUUGGACCAUGGUUCGGGUCUUCUAUUAUUUACACGUUAGGACAAAAGUGACAUCUGGUUAAUUGGGCUUAUAUUGUGGGCCUCAUUUGAUAUCUUGGGUUAGUGAGGCAAUUUUUGCCGACUAUAGUUUCUAUUUUUUUUUUUUCUCUCUCUCAAUAAAACUAUAUUUAAUGAUUACCUAUUAAAAGAUUCAGUUAAAAAUUUAGAGGGUUAAAAGGAAAAUUGCCGCAUGGACUUUAGCCAGUGGUCUAUGUAGAUAAUUGAACCCUUAUCUUUAUAUCGCUAUAUUUGUUGACGGCUUUUAUUGCUGCUCAUCAAAUAAAUUAGCUUAUCAUUUAACUUUCAUAAAUUAACUCAUCUUGUCCCAAUCACAACCAAAAAAUUAUUAGAAGGGAAUAAAACACUUAUUUGCCCUUAUAUUUUUAAAUAAGCCGUAAAUAACAAACACAUUUCAACAAAAUAGUUUGACCUUACUAACAUAAUAUUUGGACGGAAAAAAUUAUAAAAAAACAUACUAAUUGAUUAAAUUAUUGUGCAAUUAACAAAAAAACAUGGAGUUAAUAUAAUUUCCUAUUCACAUAGCAAAACUUUGUCUUUCUUUUCAUCGGAUUACUAAUGUCGAGUAAUUUAGAUGAUAAACAUCUCGAAGCCUCUCAAGAAUUCAUUUCAACUUCCUGUAUUGUUUUAAAUUUACGGCAUUCAUUGCUUCUAUCCAAGUUCCCGCGUUGUUUUAAAUUUACGGUGUUCACUGUUUCUAUCCAUCCUUGGACUUUAGUCAAGAGACCAAAAUAUUUUCAUAUAUUUAAUUUCAUUUAAAGGCCUUCUUUGUAUAUUUCACUCAUUUGUAUGUACAAUAAAUCUACUUUUGAUCCAUUCAAUUCGAUGAAACUCAAGGGAGAAGACAGUUUGCAUGAUAAAGACAGUCAAUACAUGUGUUUUAGGUAAAUUUUGAUAUCCUAUAUAUCCAAGAAAAAAUUGCAGAUUCAUGUUCCAAACAUUAAUUUUUAUUGUCUAGUGAACAAAAAAAUGUUUAGUAGACCUUGCCGAAUAAGGAAACUUCUAUGUUGUUUAUUUAUGUUAUUAUUUUGUAGAUAAGGUUUUCUUACUCCACCAAUAGCUACGAGGAGAAUUAUAUAUGUUGAACCGUGUCAUGUAGAUGACAAAUAUUCCGAGUUUUUAUCCGUCCUUGUUCAUUAAAACUUUCACAUGUUAGAUGGUUAUUUAAAAGUCAUGAAUUUUACUUGCACAUGAUAUAUAGUUGUAACAAAGAGUGUUAUGAACCGUUUAGAAGAGAAAAUUGCUUGCAAUGUCCCUAAUCGUUGUACCUUUAUAACUUUUAUGUCUAAUCUUUAAUUUAUUUCUUGAUAGUAUUGCAAAAAAUCAUUUCAAUUGUUAGCACUGGGGUCCUUAAUGAUUCUGAUUGUUAAAAUUAAAAAAACAAAAAAAAACAUAAAUGGUCACAUCAGCCUCACGAUUAAAUAAGUCAGAGUAACAAUGUACCAAAAAAGUGCGGCCGGGCAACGAACACUUUGCCUUGGUGGUAAGCGUAUAUUAAGUAUUAGCUCUCCGCUUAAUGUGUUCCUGUGCCAAGGCUCGCUUUACUAUUAUUACUUUUUUAUUUAAAAAAAAUUGACUUUAGUUUAUCAACUUUUUGUUAUUUUUUUUUAUUUUAUUAAAAGACCUUUUCUUUAUUUUAUUUUCUUUAUUUUUUUAAUUUAGUUACAAAAUUUUUAAAAAGAUUAUCCAUACAAAAGUCAAAGAUGACUUUAUCCGAUAAAGAUUUAGAUAAGAUUUAAGUUACGAUGCUAUCCAUUUUAUCCAAUUAUGAUUCCGAAACUUAUCGUUUUGUUGGAAAUUUCUAAAGUAUUUACGAAGUUUCUAUAAAUUUGUUAAGUAGAACUUGUAGAUAUAAAAUUGAAUCUAUAAAAAAUAGUCUAACUUUUACAUUUCUGAAACUUGAAAAAUUGUAUAAUUGGCUUAUUGUAUGAACUAUUAUGUAAAUAUAGUAUUUUAUAAUUUUAGAUGUUUUGUAUGCAUUAUUUAAUUAAUUAAUAAAUAAUUUUUAGAAUGAUUAGGUAUUUAGAAUAGUAAUAAAAAUAAAUAACUUUUUUUUUUUUNNNNNNNNNNNNNNNNNNNNNNNNNNNNNNNNNNNNNNNNNNNNNNNNNNNNNNNNNNNNNNNNNNNNNNNNNNNNNNNNNNNNNNNNNNNNNNNNNNNNNNNNNNNNNNNNNNNNNNNNNNNNNNNNNNNNNNNNNNNNNNNNNNNNNNNNNNNNNNNNNNNNNNNNNNNNNNNNNNNNNNNNNNNNNNNNNNNNNNNNNNNNNNNNNNNNNNNNNNNNNNNNNNNNNNNNNNNNNNNNNNNNNNNNNNNNNNNNNNNNNNNNNNNNNNNNNNNNNNNNNNNNNNNNNNNNNNNNNNNNNNNNNNNNNNNNNNNNNNNNNNNNNNNNNNNNNNNNNNNNNNNNNNNNNNNNNNNNNNNNNNNNNNNNNNNNNNNNNNNNNNNNNNNNNNNNNNNNNNNNNNNNNNNNNNNNNNNNNNNNNNNNNNNNNNNNNNNNNNNNNNNNNNNNNNNNNNNNNNNNNNNNNNNNNNNNNNNNNNNNNNNNNNNNNNNNNNNNNNNNNNNNNNNNNNNNNNNNNNNNNNNNNNNNNNNNNNNNNNNNNNNNNNNNNNNNNNNNNNNNNNNNNNNNNNNNNNNNNNNNNNNNNNNNNNNNNNNNNNNNNNNNNNNNNNNNNNNNNNNNNNNNNNNNNNNNNNNNNNNNNNNNNNNNNNNNNNNNNNNNNNNNNNNNNNNNNNNNNNNNNNNNNNNNNNNNNNNNNNNNNNNNNNNNNNNNNNNNNNNNNNNNNNNNNNNNNNNNNNNNNNNNNNNNNNNNNNNNNNNNNNNNNNNNNNNNNNNNNNNNNNNNNNNNNNNNNNNNNNNNNNNNNNNNNNNNNNNNNNNNNNNNNNNNNNNNNNNNNNNNNNNNNNNNNNNNNNNNNNNNNNNNNNNNNNNNNNNNNNNNNNNNNNNNNNNNNNNNNNNNNNNNNNNNNNNNNNNNNNNNNNNNNNNNNNNNNNNNNNNNNNNNNNNNNNNNNNNNNNNNNNNNNNNNNNNNNNNNNNNNNNNNNNNNNNNNNNNNNNNNNNNNNNNNNNNNNNNNNNNNNNNNNNNNNNNNNNNNNNNNNNNNNNNNNNNNNNNNNNNNNNNNNNNNNNNNNNNNNNNNNNNNNNNNNNNNNNNNNNNNNNNNNNNNNNNNNNNNNNNNNNNNNNNNNNNNNNNNNNNNNNNNNNNNNNNNNNNNNNNNNNNNNNNNNNNNNNNNNNNNNNNNNNNNNNNNNNNNNNNNNNNNNNNNNNNNNNNNNNNNNNNNNNNNNNNNNNNNNNNNNNNNNNNNNNNNNNNNNNNNNNNNNNNNNNNNNNNNNNNNNNNNNNNNNNNNNNNNNNNNNNNNNNNNNNNNNNNNNNNNNNNNNNNNNNNNNNNNNNNNNNNNNNNNNNNNNNNNNNNNNNNNNNNNNNNNNNNNNNNNNNNNNNNNNNNNNNNNNNNNNNNNNNNNNNNNNNNNNNNNNNNNNNNNNNNNNNNNNNNNNNNNNNNNNNNNNNNNNNNNNNNNNNNNNNNNNNNNNNNNNNNNNNNNNNNNNNNNNNNNNNNNNNNNAUCUUCUGAGACUUUGCAAUCCGUUUUCAAAAUAAUUUUUUUGUUGAUAAGAUCGUCUUAAAAUUUUGAAAUACGCAGUACUAUUGAAAGAAUUUCUUUUUUAAUAGUACAGUAAUUCAUUUGAAGGUCGGUUCACACACCACUGUGAUACCUAACUAACUGUUCUUGAGAUGACUCUAGUGGAAUUUGUUUUAACACACCACCAUAUCCAAUAUUCGAGGCAUUUGUCUUAGUAAUAAUUAAAGCUGUGGGGUCAAGGAUUGAAAGACAGGGAAUAUUUUUGAUUGCUUUUUUGACAUUUUGUACUGCAACUGUGUGUUCAUGACUCCAUGGAUCAGGAUUGUUUUGUAAUCUUUUAAAUAAAGGAGCAUAGGUUUGACGUAUACUUUUGAAAAAAUCAACCACAUAAUUGACACAUCCUAAAAAACGUUGCAAACUUGUUUUAUCUAUGAUUUCAUCUGAAAUUUUGUCAAUGAAAUCAAGACUUCUUUGAAUUGGAGUUAAUGUACCAAAAUGAAUGUAAUGUCCAAGAAAUCAAAUUUUUGUUUUACAUAAAACAAUUUUUUUAGCAGAAAUAGUUAAACCAUUUUUCUUAGUAAUAUGAAUAAAUAUAUGUAUAUGCUUGAAAUGUUGCUCUAUACUUUUAGAAAAUAUAAGAACAUCAUCAAUAUAAACAGUAAUGAAAUUUGAAAAAGGAUUAAAAAUAUCAUGCAUAAUUUUUUGAAUUCAGAUGGAGUAUUUUUGAGACUGAAUGGCUUAACAUUCCAUCAGUAUUAUCCGAAAGGAACAUUGAAAGCAGUCUUGUAUCUAUCUUCUUCGUCAAUUUGAAUUUGCCAACAACCUGAUUUCAUAUCAAAUUUUGAAAAGAUGAUAGCUUUGCAAAGACGAUUCAGAAGAUCUUUCUUUUGAGGAGUAGGAUAUCUAAUCCAUUGAAGAGCAGUAUUAAGAGGUUUAUAAUUGAUCACCAAACGAGGAACUCCUCCUUCAAUUUCAGCAGAAUAAUUGACAUAGAAAGUUGAACAGCUCCAUGAGAUUUACUUGAUCGGAUUAAACCUUUCUUAAGUAAACCAUCAAUCUCUUUGAUGCAAAAAUGAAGUAACUCUUUGUUCAUUGAAUAGGACGAGAUUUUGUAGGAAUAUUUGAUUCAUGAAAAUCAGAAUUAUAAGGAAGAGAAACGUGUUUCUUUCUAUCCCAGAAGGCAUUUGGAAUACUUGAACAAAUUUAUUUUUCAAUUUUAUUUUGAAAUUGUAAAAUUUGUUCUUGAAAAAAAGAUUCUUGCAAUCUUUUUUCCAUUUUUUGAAAUUGAAUUUCUUCUUUAAGAAAUUGAAUAUGAUUACGCUUUGAAUUAAUAUUAUUAAUAAUUUUUGAAAUUGCAAAUUCUUUUAAAGAAUUAAUAUCUUUAUAAGAAGGAGGAUUUGAAAAUUCAAAAAAUAUUUUUUGAUCAAAAAUUUUUGUAGUUAAUCCUUUAGCAUCGGCUUUAAAGGGAUAAAUUUGAACAAUAAAAGGAGUUCCAAGAAUAACUUCUUGAUCUAAAUUUUUUACAAGAUAAAAAACACUUUUGGAACAAAUAUUUGAAUUACAAACAUGAGCUUUUGAAAUUUUGUAGUUAAUAAUAAGCUUUUUCCCACUAGCACCAUAACGAUGCUCAGUAGUUUUCUCAAAUUAUUUUGUAGGAAUUAAGUCUUCUUUGAUACAAUUUUGAUCUGGGCCUGAAUCAAUAAGGAACUGAGUUGUAAAUUUGAUUUUUUUAUUUACAAUAAUGGUCAUAUUGCAAUACCAUUUUUGAAGUUGAAUUCGGUUAAUAACAUUAACCUUUUCUUCUUCAAAUUUAAGAAUUUCGAAAUCAGAAUCUAAUAGGUAAUCAGAUGAGGAUUUAGAAUGUUUUGAAGAUCGCUUAGAAGAAACUUUCGAUUUUCCUUUGAAUUUUGAAUAAAAUUCAUCAUUUAAAUCUUUUGCUUUCAUACAAACGACCUCCAUAUGAAUUUCUUUGACUUGAUUUCCAAGAUAUGAGAUUUGAGUUUUCAUAGUUUUAAUCUCUUCUUGAAGACCAGGAAUAGAAGGUUUAGAACUCUUUAAAAAUUCUUUUUGAGCAUGUUUGAGAAUUUGAUUGAUAUUGAUAUCAUCAAAAUCUUGUUUUGAAGUAGAAGGUAAAAAGGAGGAGAAUUUUUUCUUGAGAUUAGGAUUAUCAAUUCUAUCAAUAAUAUCUUGAAUAACAUCUUCUUCUCGAAAUAAAACAUUUAUAGUAUUACAACCACAAAUUUCUUCAUUAGAGUUUGAAGAAGUAUUAGAGGAAUGAAGAUAAGGUUCAUAAUCAGAAUCUUCUUGAUUAAGAAAAACUUGUUCUAAUUCUGAGUUAGACUCAUUAUCAGAACUUGAUUUAAUAAGAUUGAGAAGUUGAGCUUUAGUAUCUUCAUCAAUUUGAAGAUUACUAAUUUUCUUUUUGAGUGGACAUUUAUUUAUGGGAAUAAUGACCAGUCUUAUUGCAUUUCCAGCAAGUAAUACUUGAAUUUUUUUUUGAAAUUUUCUUUUUUGAAAAAUGUUUUCUUUUUGAAAAUUUUCUUUUAUUAGUAACUUCUUCUGAAUAAUUUUUGGAAUAUUUUCUUUUAGAAAAUUUCCUACUUUGAGAAAUUUUUUUAGAUUUUGAAGAAGGAGGACUGAUUUUUUCAAAGUCAUGUUCAGAGAAAGAUCUAAGUUCUUUUCGACUUUCAAACUUUUCUGUUUUCAAUUUAGGUUUGAGUUUUAAAUCAUUGCACAAAUUUAAAGCUUCACAAUUAAUAGAAUUGAUAAUUUCACCAUAUGUGAGUGUUUGAAGGUCAUCAAAUUCUUUAAAAAUAGAAUUUUUGACUCUUUCUGCAAAGAGUUUUGGAAGACCUAAAAUAAAUUUUUCUUUCCAAAAAGAUUGUUGACAAUCUUCUCUAAUCAUGAUACGAGAUAAAAAUAUAUCUUUGUACCAUCGAAAAUCUUGUAGUUUUGGACAUCUUAAAUUUAUUAAAGUGUCAUUUUGCAUUUGAACAAUAUUUUCUCGAGUACCAAAAACUUUGAAUUGAAUCCAAUCAUAGAAACUUAAAUCAGUAGAAGAUUUAAAAUAAUCUUUCCAAUAAGAUUCUUUUUGUUUUGAAGAAAAACUUUCUCGAAAAAGUCUACUAAAAUUUUUGACACAAAUGUCUUGGUCAUCUUUGAAUUCUUUUCUUCUAUCAAUUUCAGAAGAAAUAACAUUACAUUGAUUAUCAAGAUUGGAGGGAGAAACCAUAUCUGAAAAAGUUGGUGAUUCUGGUUGAUCAUCAUCUUUUUCAUAUUCAUUUUGAAAAUGAGGUUUUGGAAUAAUAUGAGUAAAAUUUGCUCCUUUAUAUGAAGAUUGAAAAGAUGAUCUAGGUUUCUCUUCAGACCUAGUAGAAAAAGAUUUAGUAGAAUAAGAUCUUUGAAUCUUUGAGGAUGAACCUUUGAAGAGAAUCUUAGCUCUUCCAUUUGGAAAAGCAAGAAUUUGAUUUGGAAUUAUUCUAGUUUGAGCAGGAACAGGUGUUUGAAUAUUAUCAAAAUUUCAUUCGAGUCCACAAGAUUGAAGAUUCCAUGGAAUUCUUUUUGGAAUUUCGACAUUUGAGUGGAAAGUAUUAACUUCAACUAUAAGACUUUCAUCUCUUGGUGAAGAAUGAAGGGCUCCAAUAUUGAAUUGAGUAUUCAUAAGCUUAUAAUAUACUCUGUAUAUUAUAGCAAAAGCAUUUGAUCUACUAUCAAAUUCAAGAUUUUUAGUUUGAAUAUGAAGAUUGAGAGAAUUAGGAAUUGCUCCAUCAGUGAGUUUGAUAGAAAUAUUUAGAUAACAAUUUGAAAAUACUGGACCACUUUCAAGAUUUGAUUCAAGAAGUGAAAGUAAUGAAUUUUCAAAAUUGAGAUGUCUCGUUUCUAAGAGUAAUAAGAAUUGGAACAUCAAAACCAAGUCUAAAUAAGGGCUUGACUGCUAUUUGAACUAAUCCAACAUUAAGAUAUUUAAAUUUCUUCUUGUGGGAUUCAAUAACUUCUUUAGUAAAUAAAUUAAUGAAAAAUUUUGACUAUUAAUUGAAACAGUUUGUUCAAUAGUUUUGAUAACAUAAUUUUGAUAAAAAUCAAAUUUUCCUAUUUCAUAGAUGGUAUGUUUAUCCAUUUUUGGAAUAGUCCAAUUUUGAAGACGUUCAAUUUGAGCAAUUUGAAGUUCAUGAGAAUUAAAAUCAUUUGAUGCAGAUGAUGUGAUGCAUUAUCAACUUCUUCUUCUGUUUGAAAAACAUUUGUUCUAUUCUCAUUUAAUUGAUUUUCUCGUCUAUUUCUAGAUCUCGAUCUCCUUAACCAAUUUGUUACUGAAGACAUAAUUGAAUUUAAUGAAAUUAAAACAAUUUAUCAAAAAUAAAAACAGUUAAAUAAGAUAGACUGAUUCUUACCAAGCCUACAAACUGGACCACCCAAACACGCCUACCCCGGCAAACAACGGGCUGACCAACAUCUAUUCAGUAGACAUCCCGAAACUAAAUCAGGUUUUCUUAUUUGAACAGUGCCUAUAGUGAUAAAUCAAAGUACAGAGACCAGGGUCGUUACAAAAAAAUGCGCAUUUUUUUGUAACGACCCUGGUGUCUGUACCCAAACCGUUAUCUUACAUACUGUCUGCUUUGGAUGGACCUUGAGCCCACUUACCCCUCACCACUUUCUGUCGCGUCUCCCAGGAUUCGAACUCAUGACCUUUCCCUUAAGUAAGAUUUAAGUUGAAUCCUGGUACCAAUUGGGCAAGUGGUACCAGAAUUUAACUUAAGUCUUAUUUAAGAGAAAUGUUAUGAGUUCAAAUCCUAGAGGAUGCGACAGAAAGCUGUGAGGCGUAAGUAGGCGCAAGGCUCACUCAAAACGGAUAGUACGUAAGCUAACGACUUGGGUAUAUAGACUCGGAUCGUUACAAGAAAAACGUUGUUGGACCUAAGUUCAGUGACCAUUGGAACAUCUUCUUCUCGAAAUAAAACAUUUAUAGUAUUACAACCACAAAUUUCUUCAUUAGAGUUUGAAGAAGUAUUAGAGGAAUGAAGAUAAGGUUCAUAAUCAGAAUCUUCUUGAUUAAGAAAAACUUGUUCUAAUUCUGAGUUAGACUCAUUAUCAGAACUUGAUUUAAUAAGAUUGAGAAGUUGAGCUUUAGUAUCUUCAUCAAUUUGAAGAUUACUAAUUUUCUUUUUGAGUGGACAUUUAUUUAUGGGAAUAAUGACCAGUCUUAUUGCAUUUCCAGCAAGUAAUACUUGAAUUUUUUUUUGAAAUUUUCUUUUUUGAAAAAUGUUUUCUUUUUGAAAAUUUUCUUUUAUUAGUAACUUCUUCUGAAUAAUUUUUGGAAUAUUUUCUUUUAGAAAAUUUCCUACUUUGAGAAAUUUUUUUAGAUUUUGAAGAAGGAGGACUGAUUUUUUCAAAGUCAUGUUCAGAGAAAGAUCUAAGUUCUUUUCGACUUUCAAACUUUUCUGUUUUCAAUUUAGGUUUGAGUUUUAAAUCAUUGCACAAAUUUAAAGCUUCACAAUUAAUAGAAUUGAUAAUUUCACCAUAUGUGAGUGUUUGAAGGUCAUCAAAUUCUUUAAAAAUAGAAUUUUUGACUCUUUCUGCAAAGAGUUUUGGAAGACCUAAAAUAAAUUUUUCUUUCCAAAAAGAUUGUUGACAAUCUUCUCUAAUCAUGAUACGAGAUAAAAAUAUAUCUUUGUACCAUCGAAAAUCUUGUAGUUUUGGACAUCUUAAAUUUAUUAAAGUGUCAUUUUGCAUUUGAACAAUAUUUUCUCGAGUACCAAAAACUUUGAAUUGAAUCCAAUCAUAGAAACUUAAAUCAGUAGAAGAUUUAAAAUAAUCUUUCCAAUAAGAUUCUUUUUGUUUUGAAGAAAAACUUUCUCGAAAAAGUCUACUAAAAUUUUUGACACAAAUGUCUUGGUCAUCUUUGAAUUCUUUUCUUCUAUCAAUUUCAGAAGAAAUAACAUUACAUUGAUUAUCAAGAUUGGAGGGAGAAACCAUAUCUGAAAAAGUUGGUGAUUCUGGUUGAUCAUCAUCUUUUUCAUAUUCAUUUUGAAAAUGAGGUUUUGGAAUAAUAUGAGUAAAAUUUGCUCCUUUAUAUGAAGAUUGAAAAGAUGAUCUAGGUUUCUCUUCAGACCUAGUAGAAAAAGAUUUAGUAGAAUAAGAUCUUUGAAUCUUUGAGGAUGAACCUUUGAAGAGAAUCUUAGCUCUUCCAUUUGGAAAAGCAAGAAUUUGAUUUGGAAUUAUUCUAGUUUGAGCAGGAACAGGUGUUUGAAUAUUAUCAAAAUUUCAUUCGAGUCCACAAGAUUGAAGAUUCCAUGGAAUUCUUUUUGGAAUUUCGACAUUUGAGUGGAAAGUAUUAACUUCAACUAUAAGACUUUCAUCUCUUGGUGAAGAAUAAAGAGCUUCAAUAUUAAGUUGAGUAUUCAUAAGCUUAUAAUAUACUCUGUAUAUUAUAGCAAAAGCAUUUGAUCUACUAUCAAAUUCAAGAUUUUUAGUUUGAAUAUGAAGAUUGAGAGAAUUAGGAAUUGCUCCAUCAGUGAGUUUGAUAGAAAUAUUUAGAUAACAAUUUGAAAAUACUGGACCACUUUCAAGAUUUGAUUCAAGAAGUGAAAGUAAUGAAUUUUCAAAAUUGAGAUGUCUCGUUUCUAAGAGUAAUAAGAAUUGGAACAUCAAAACCAAGUCUAAAUAAGGGCUUGACUGCUAUUUGAACUAAUCCAACAUUAAGAUAUUUAAAUUUCUUCUUGUGGGAUUCAAUAACUUCUUUAGUAAAUAAAUUAAUGAAAAAUUUUGACUAUUAAUUGAAACAGUUUGUUCAAUAGUUUUGAUAACAUAAUUUUGAUAAAAAUCAAAUUUUCCUAUUUCAUAGAUGGUAUGUUUAUCCAUUUUUGGAAUAGUCCAAUUUUGAAGACGUUCAAUUUGAGCAAUUUGAAGUUCAUGAGAAUUAAAAUCAUUUGAUGCAGAUGAUAAUGAUGCAUUAUCAACUUCUUCUUCUGUUUGAUAAACAUUUGUUCUAUUCUCAUUUAAUUGAUUUUCUCGUCUAUUUCUAGAUCUCGAUCUCCUUAACCAAUUAGUUACUUAAGACAUAAUUGAAUAAAGAUGAAAUUACGAUAAAACAAUGUAAAGACAAAACAAUAGGAUAGACAGGUUCUCACCAAGCCUACAAUGGGACCACCCUUCAACUCCUACACUGGCAACACGGGUUGACCAACGCUUAACAGCAGACGUCCAGGUUUAAACAAGGUUUUCCUAAAUAUUUUAUGCCUACACUGUUUGAUAAUAACCUCACUUUAAAACUCUUAUGCUCUGAUACCAAAAUGACCCAAAGGAAAUAAAACCAGACAAAAUGAAAAAGAUGAAUUCAAAAUUUUUUCAAAGAGAAAUUGUAUUGAUAAUUGAUAUGUAACAGAAUUGAAAUUACAAAAUAAAUCAGUAUCUCCUCUAGAUUGUUCAACACUAUCUACAUCCUCAUUCUUUUCACUCUUCUAGUCAGAUCCAUUGCUAAUUCUAAUAGUGAAAGCAAUAUAUUUUCUUAUUUUUCUCAUGAGUGGAUUUAUUACUCUGAUUAUUCGAGCUAGACUCAUCAUCAGUGAGAAUAGUAUUUAUAGCAUUAUCCUGAGUUCUCCUACUACUGGGACAUUCGCUUCUGACAUGACCAAAACCUUGACAAUUAUGGUAUCUCACUCCUUUAGAUCCUCUUCAAGAUAUACUCGGGGCACCUUUGUGUCUAUCCUGAGACUUGUUUUUGUUCCUAAACAUCUUCUUGAAUUUCUUAGCAAAGUAGCCUAAACCGCAUUUCCCAAAUAUGUGGUUGUAUAAUCUCAAGAAUUAAACGAUUGAAAUUAAGGUUUGAAUGUGCACUUGGAUCGUCAAAGAAUAAUAUGGAGAGGCAACACAAUGAAAAACCACCAUUUUGAAUGUUCAUAGGUAGGAUAUAUAUAGAGAAAAGUGUGUGGAGUAAAAAGGGAUUGAAAAACCAAGUGUUUGAAGAAAAAUAGAAUUCUUAACGCCGACCUGUCACUCAAGCAAUAGGCUAGCGACAGGCGAGUAACAGCUGAGUAGUUGUCAGUAUUUUCAUCAUAAUUUUCUCUCCCAAUGUCUGAUUGAGGUUAUUCAAAAUGCGUAUAGAAGCUAACUCAAAGGAUUACAGUUAUUCUAGUACUAACCUUGUCCAAAUUUCAAUGUUUUCUAUAUGAAAAAUCUAUUACAAAUUAUGACUAAGAAUUUGGAACAUAACUUGUGCGGCUCUUUGAUAUCCUUUAGACUUCUAAUUGCAUUCCAAUUAUCAUAUGUGAUCUACUUGGAAAUCUUGGACUCUUCCAAGGACUAUACUACCAACUCCAAUUCUUUUGCUAUAAUUAGGACUCAAUAAUUUAACUUAGAUUACAACAUGUCAACAGACUCCUUGACUUUUACAACUUUUUUAUAUUAAUCAUUUUUGUCUAAAGAAUUGCCUAUUUAAUAAAAACCUAGCAAGCACGAAGGGAUAGCUAUAGUUUCUAGGCAUUCAGAUUUGUGUAUGCUAUUCAUCAAGUUUUGAAGAGUAGAUGGAAUAAGAGUAACACUCCUUUACAUUGUAUAUCACAUUCUUUCAUUCCUAAGUGUUACAAUGAAGCUUGGCUUCAAGAUGGUAUUAACAGAGUUACAAGAAUUGCACCACCUGAGGAUCAAGAGGUUUCAAUAAAUAGAAGCAAAUGCUUCAAAAGGUUGUUUGAAAUAUCAGUUGAUUUGAGGAAAACAUAUGUUGAAUUUGGGUCUUUUCUAAUAGAUUGGAGUGUCAGCCCCAUGUUAUUAACACAAGAAUGUACAAGGAAUCAAUCUCUUGGUGGCCAAUCAUGGUUAUUUAGUACCUUUGUUGAAAAUCUGUUGCAUUUAAAUUGUUUUUACAGUAGACAUCAUCUUCUCAUUGUGUGCGAAAUUGAAGAACGCAUUCACUCAUCCAGAGUGUCAAGAGAAACAAAAUGGUGGCAAGUAGGCUAAAGACUUGUAUUUGUUCGUUGCAAUCUCCAUUUCCCGUCAUUGAUUCGCCAAGUUUCUCCAAAAGAAGGCGUGGAUGAAUUUGUAAGUGCUGUACAUUCUUUUCUCUACCAGUUUCUUUUCUCUACCAGUUUUUUUUUUUUUUUUUUAAAUUGAUGGAUGCAUUCUUGAAGGUGUUUUAGCAUUCUGUUUAUUCAUACACGGGAAAUGGGUUUAAGCCACUUCUUAGGUUUUUUCUAAAUUUCGUUUGCCCAAUUUCUUCAGUCUCUGUUUAUUUUCUGUGUGCCGUGAAAAUGUAUCGUUAAUGGAUUGCAUCAAUUCAAUUUGUUUUUUUAAAAGUACAGAGUGAUCCCUUACCGCUGUACCAUAUUAAAUUCUAAACAGAUAGACGCUGCAGCAAAUUAUGAAUGCUAUCAGUGAACGUUGCUGCAAAUUGACGAAUGAUAGACUUACCAAUUUUGAGUUGCUAUAAACAAGUUUUUAGGGAAAACAUGUUAACAUUCAAAUUAAUCAAGAUUACAUUACAGGUAACUCCUGUGAAUUUGUAAGACAGACAACAAUAUCAUCACUUUUAGACAAUAAAGUUUCAAAUGGCACACCAUAUUAGCAUUCUGGAAUUCGAAACACUUGGACCUCACUGUUGCACUUCAUUACAAAUCUAAACACAACUACCUCAUAUUAUAUAUAUAAACAAAUAUGGAAAGCAUGAUCACUUAGCAGUUAUUUGACUUUAUUUCUUCGUAAAACAAGGAAAGCAAAAGUUCAAUUGAAAUAGAAUAAAAAUGGUGAAAUACAAAUCUAAAAUAUCAUCAUUAUUAGACUUGACUAGAAUAUCAACCUGCACAAGGUAUUGGGUCUUAGGUUACUAGUCAUAUAGGCGGAUUAAGGGUCGAAAUGGUGGAUCAUUGCAUUAAUAUCUACAAAAAAAAUAUAAAGUGUAAAUUUUUUUAGGCAAAAUUGAAGUUUAAAGUUACUUUUCACUAAUUAUUUAGGUCUAUAAAAUAUAGUAAAAGGUUGGAACAAAGUUAAAAAAAAUAAAAUUAGAAAACCUAUAAAUGGUUCAUCAAAUAGAUAUAAAUUAUUGCAUACAGGGAAAAUUUCAUAACUAAGAAGAUACUUCUGCCAUUUCAAAACUAAUAAUAAAAGUUUCAAAUUUCACAAAUCGUAUACUUAUUAAAUUAAAUUUAUGAUUUAAUUAAUUAAUUAUAUAUUUAAUUAAUUAAAUAUAUUAAAAUCACAAAUUUAUGUACUCUGCUUACAAAUUGACGUUUUAGCUAGUCACGUGUUAUUUUUCAAUCACAGAUUCACAAAUCAAAAUUUUUAUAUGUCACAAAUUAUUUUUAUGGUCACAAUUAUAUUUAUAGGUCACAUAUUUCAUCAAUCACAUAUUUUGUCGGUCACAUAUUACUUAUUUGUCAUAUAUUUUAUCGGUCACAAAUUACAUAUUGAUCAUUAUUUUGUGAUUUUCCUUGCAUAAAAUAAGGUACUUUGUGUUCUAGUGGUGAGGAGCUCAUUAUUUUCCUCAGAGGUCCAUGGUUUCAAAAGUUUUGAAUGAGGAUUUCAAAAUCCAGUCAAAUAAGCAAAUUGGACUGGUUAAACCAUCAGUUAACUCGAUUAGCCACAUUUCUAUCAAAUUAAUUUGCCAAGCCCGACUAGGGGCCUGGGUUACCAAUUUUCUGUUCCUACCUAUUGGGCUGUGUCAGAUUUUAUAACUAUACGGUAUAUUGACCCUAUGCUCCAUUAACAUCGAAGAGGGCUGCUAGAAAUCCCAGGGCCCAGAGAAGGUUUUCCCAUUAUCGACUGACUGCGCACUAUAAUUGAUGAUAAUUAACAAACGAUAUUGCUAUUCAGCCAUUCUACACAACAUCCUAUGUAGCAAACUUUUAAAUUUUAUUUAAAAAAAAAAAAAAAACUUUUAAAUUUUAUUUUUAAACCAAAAGUAUAAUUAACGUGUUUUUCCCAAAAAGAGCCCAACCUUUCAUCUUCCCAAUACCAUAAAGAAUGGAUCUACAGAGUACAUUUCAAUCUCUCUUUCUCACCUUAUCCACCGUCGCACUCCGACGGCGGCACCUUCGAGAAUUAAAGCCUCACCUUUUCUGAUAACUUUUGCUAACUUCUUUAAAAAAAAAUUGAAUUGAAAAAUUGGUUGCGUCAACCCAAAGGCUGAAUCUCUUUCUUUUUCUUAACUCACCCGUACUCCGACUACAACCACCACCGAUUGCAACUCAUGGGCAGAAGAUUUAUAGGUGCUCGAUUGUUUGAUUCGCCAAGUUUCUCCAAAAGAAGGCGUGGAUGAAUUUGUAAGUGCUGUACAUUCUUUUCUCUACCAGUUUCUUUUCUCUACCAGUUUUUUUUUUUUUUUUUUAAAUUGAUGGAUGCAUUCUUGAAGGUGUUUUAGCAUUCUGUUUAUUCAUACACGGGAAAUGGGUUUAAGCCACUUCUUAGGUUUUUUCUAAAUUUCGUUUGCCCAAUUUCUUCAGUCUCUGUUUAUUUUCUGUGUGCCGUGAAAAUGUAUCGUUAAUGGAUUGCAUCAAUUCAAUUUGUUUUUUUAAAAGUACAGAGUGAUCCCUUACCGCUGUACCAUAUUAAAUUCUAAACAGAUAGACGCUGCAGCAAAUUAUGAAUGCUAUCAGUGAACGUUGCUGCAAAUUGACGAAUGAUAGACUUACCAAUUUUGAGUUGCUAUAAACAAGUUUUUAGGGAAAACAUGUUAACAUUCAAAUUAAUCAAGAUUACAUUACAGGUAACUCCUGUGAAUUUGUAAGACAGACAACAAUAUCA
rnacentral:lncRNA from 1 species